rnacentral:lncRNA from 1 species
CUAUUUUUUCACAACGGACUAGAUUAAUAUGUUCUAGUUCCAAACCACCAUUACAUGUCAUUAGACAAGACACUAAAUCUGGACCAACAAGUGCUACUGAUGAACAACCAUUCUAAGAGUAGGCUAUUUCACUUAUACAAAUAGCCCACAAAAUGCUAUUGUUAGCCUGUCCAAAAUGCUAUAAUUAGGCUACAAAAUACUAUGUCAACCAUCUAUCCAGCUUGCAAGUACUAGAAGAACAGAUCCUGGUCAAGAAGAUUAUCAACUUCACAAAUUGGAGCUGUCAAGAUUUGGGUAAAAUUGACAAUGAUAUUGUACUCUUGAAGGUCCAGAUUUGCUCCUUUAUUGCUGUCACCAUUCUCCACUUGCGCUAGGGGUUGCACAUCAUCACUUUUUUUUUGUUGCUGCAACAAAUUCAACUAAUUACUUUACAAAAUAAUAUACAAAUGUUCAGAUUGCAUUGGACAUACCUUUGCUUGUCGUCUUGAAUUCUUUGAUUGAACCUCCUUUUUCUUGAAUUUGUAGCAGUUAGCAAGCUUCUUUGCUGUACAUUAGUGUCAGCAUUUUCUUGGCCCUUGCAUGGUUCAUUCACAGCACUAGUAGAUAUAUUAAGUUUUCCCUCUAGCUGUAUAGUAAGGCAAUCAAGUGCAUUUUCUAAUAGCACACAACAUUCUUGAGAGGCGGAGGCGGCGACGACAACCUUCAGCUUCUCUUCCGCCGGCCCGGCUGGCUCGCGCCCCCGCUACGCCCGGCGGCAGCCCUCCCUCACCUAACGUGCCCCUCCAGCUUCUCCUCCGCGGCGUCGCCCCUCCUCUUCUCCGGACUCCGCGCGGGGAGGAGCUCCGCGGCCGCGCGGGAGCGAGUCGGCGGUAGCGCGCGGGAGGUGAGUCGGCCGCCCGCGCUUUUCCUUUUCCUUCCCGCGAGCAGGACUUCCUGGGGGCCUGUGGAAAGGAUAAGAUUAUCACAGCUGGCCGUUGGAUUUCGUUUGAACGGUGGAUGUAGGCAGCUAAGGCUCACGGUGACUUGCCGAAGGCAAGUUACUGAAUCCGCGUCCCCUCAGUACCUCACGCACAGACGCACACUGACAAACACCACUACAUGGAGACCUGCUGCACUCCCUUGCCGGCUUUAGUUCGUUAUAGAUGCAUUUGGUUCUGCGUGUAACCCGCCGUUACAAUUUUAUUGCAGUCUUGCAGAUGAAAAUUUUCUGCUCAGUUCAGAUGGCAAUGAGCGAUGCCGGUCGUAACAUUUAAGUAGCAUAAGAAAUGACGAAAUCGGGAUGGCACUUCCAAAUUCAACUAAAUGGAACCAUGAUGGCGAGGUCAGAAGUUUGAAUAUUUCUGCCUCUCUGAAAUUCACAUAGCCAUAGAGAUAGUUGUGGGCAAGCCAAUUUAUUAUUGCUGCAACUUCCGUUACAAGCAUUUAGUAAUGCGCUGACAUUUGACAACGCCUUAAAUACACUUAGAGAUUAUAUCUUAUAUCUGCAUAUUACUCUUGUCUUGUAUAACCAAAUGGGAUCUCAUUUCCUUCUCUACGGAUCCUUCCAUGCAUACCCUUUUCCUGAAUCCUGAUUGAAUGGCUGCAUCCCACACUACGGACUAGCUCUUGUAUAAGUUACUUUGGUGUCAGAACAUACAUCUUGCAGUCAUGAGGUGCCACUGAAGCUGAUAAUUGGCCCUGAGCCGAGAAGGACGAGUGCUGCACAAGAAAAUGGAAUUUGAAAUAUGAUGUCUGGACCAUCAACCUUCUUCACUUGAUUAUGAUAUGCAGUAUGGAUCUGAAGAAAGCAAGCUUACCGCCCAUAGAUCACGAGCAGUGACAGCAGUGGAUGAAGCAAGCCCGAUGCUUGACCAUUGCGCGGUGAUGGUUGCCUGGUAGCCCUGCCGGUUCCAGAGAACCACAGCCUUCCUGUUGUUGCUGAGUGGCCCGGCCCAAACCUAUAAAAGAACACAGCGCUGUUAACUUCAGAAUCUUGCUAAAGCUCUUUGUGGUUUUGCUGUGGAACAAAGAGCUUCAUGGAAGGCACUAAUGCAGAGGUUGUGGAAUACUACCUCCAAGCCAUUGUUGGAUUGCACUUUCUUUCCUUGGACGCCUAGACUAUCUGUUUGGAAAAUUGUUGCAUCAAUACAAUGAAAACCCAUACAAUGUGUAGGUAAAAAUGCAAGAGAAGUUCUACCUUGGUUGACAGCAAUGACUUCCCAGUUGCUGAGUAUGUCCUUUGUCUGCUGGCUCAUCGAGCGUACAUCGCACCCGAUCAGAAGAGGAGCCUGCAAAAGGCAAGACAGGUUUGCAGUGAUGAAAAUGCAGAACAUUUAACAUUGAAAGAGCACUUUUAACUUGCAGAAAAUUUAGUACCUUGGCAAGUGCCCAGAUGCUGAAGUGAGAGCGGUACUCCGCCUCAGACAUACCACCAUUGCCCACUUCAAGCAUGUCAGGAUCUGAUGUUGGAAUGCAAGAGAAUCCAUUCAUCAGUUGGUAGUUCACAAAUGGUUAAGCGUGAACAGAAUCAUCUCAUGUCUAAACUCUUACUUACCAUUCCAUCCACCAGGUCCGGCAUAGGAAGCCCAUCUGUCAUUCUGGUCUGCACGAGAUGUCAUGCUGAAAUAUCAUGGUAAAUAUGGUCAGUCCGGACAAUUUCAGUAGUUAAUUAGUCAUCCAAGUAGAUCACAACGAAAUGAGCAGCACCUGCCCCAGUUGUCAACGAUAUCAUCAGUUGUUCUCCAGCUGUUGCCCAUGCUUCCUGCCCAGGUAGCAGGAUUUUCUCUUCCCCUAUAUAGAGGAGACACAGUUGAAGAAAUCAGCACCAGUAACACAUCUUCCCUCUGGACAGAGGUGUUGCUAGGAGGAAACUCACCAUUCACACAAUGAGAAGAAGAUGUUCUUUCCAUAGGUCUUCAUGGCAUUGCUCAUUUUAGUAUAUCUGCAACAGCCAUGAGAAGUUAAUGAGCAACCUGGCGUACAAUUCCCAAUCCGUCAAUCACAACACAGUUUAAGGUGCCGUUCUCGUUUACCUCUCCAUUACACUCCUGCCAGCAUCAUUGCAGUUGUCGUACUUCAGAUAAUCAAUACCCUGGAGUUAGAGAAGAGAGUUAGAAGAACAUCAGGAAGUCAGAAUCAUCAAAUGAUCAGCCACUUUGUCACUGUUGAUUCAACAUCAGGUAAGAAAGAGAAAGAGAUUUACCCAAGACGAAAAUGUUUUCACAUCCUGCUCUUCAUGAUCAAGUGAUCCUGGCAUUUUUUGACUGCAUGUCCGUGUUCUGCAAUAAACAGUGGCAAUUCAGUAUAAGGUUCACAACCAGUUUGAUACUGCAAAUUAUUGGUUCGCUUGGGUAUUAACGACUACAGUUACUCCAAGACGAUAAUAAAUGAGCUAUUUUGUUAUCAUAAAACUGUUUUUUUAUAGCUAGCAGCCUAGCAUACCCUGCGUCACUGUAGAUGCCAAGCUUCAGCCCUUUUGCGUGCACAUAAUCUGCAAGUGCCUUGAUGCCAGAGGGGAAGGUUUGUCUAUUUGCAACAAAGUUACCCUGAGAAAUAGUAAUGCAACUUUGUCAAUAACAAUGGUAUUAAAGGUCAUUAUGUAAGAAGGAAAAAAAGUAGAGUCUGAUCUAGCCACUGGGUCACAAAAGUUUGCAAAAACAAUCACUUCAAAUUUACUCAUUAUAUCUGCAACAGUCCACUCUACAAACAUUUUUUAAGCUCUCCAUAAUCUAAUGGUUAUUAUGAAUUCCUCUCUAUGUAUUUUUGUGCUUUCUAGAAGUUCUUCUCCACUUUUUUUUUGCUUGCACUGAUAUUAAUGCUGAAAAUGAUGGGGGUGGUUAGUGGUUAGCGUGUUGCAUCUGUAGGAAAAUUUGAUCUUCUUACCUGGUAGUCCCUGUCAGAUUCCGCCCAGCAAUCAUCUGAAAGAAGAUAUGGAAAGGCUUUCAGCAAAGAGCUACUUUGUGCAGGAUGCAUGAUAUGAGAUGGGGUUUACAUCGCAAUCCAUACCUAUAUUAACAUAUUCGUAGCCCAACUUCGCCAGACCAGUGUUGACCAAUGCAUCAGCUGAAUAAAAGUGAAGCAGUUUGAGCAGUAUUAGGGGUGCCACAUACUUUCUCUGAGACAAAUAUGUACGGAACAGUGGCAAGUUUAUAAAUAGUGUUGAAAGUAGAGUUUACAGUGUAACUACUCCUUUGCAUUAUCCUAAUACGACAGUGUGAUCACGGGCCAUUUGUCCUGCAUCGACUACCCAUAAUAAGUGGUUCAAGCACUACUCACAGUUAUAGGUCAAUAGAUAUAGUCCAAGAGGAACAGGUUGCAGGCACAUGAUCUGUAUCUGCUCUCCUCCUGCUUGAACUGGUCAGUUAGGCUGCACCUAUCGUUGCCUGACCCAACUUGUUGGCCCAAGCGUCCCUUUUCCAAUGCUUUCAUCCAUCAACAACCAUGUACUCCCUCCGUCCUAAAUUACUAUUCGUUUUGACUUCUCUAGAUACUCAUACAAGUAUAUAUCUAAGUGCAUAUCAAAAUAUGUGUACGUAGAAAAGAUAAAACGAAUAGUAAUUUGGGACGGGGAGUAGAUUCUUUCGACCAUAGUGACACUAGUCAAUUGAUUGGUGCUGUCCAUUGGACCACAAAGACUGCGAAAACUGAUGAGGCGAUUAAUGUAUUCGAUCGCAAAGACCUUAUCUAGAUUUGUUCAGAGAUCUGCGCAGCACAUGUCGUAGAUAUCCAUGAUUAAUUCAGUUUUUUAAUUCUUUUGCCAAGGGACAAGCGAAAGAAUCAGUGGAGCCCUUUUGUCAACGUAUCAGCCUUAUGGGUAUGGGUUCUCCUCACUAAAAAGUAGCAUAUAAAAUUUUGGUGCGCAAUUUAUUCUGGCAAUGGAACCUCUCCCUUUGUAGUCCCUUCAUAUUUCUUCUGCAACUUACUUUUCUGUUUUUAAAACUGAAUUCCUUUCAUUUUUCAGAGGAUGCUAUUGCAAUAGCUAUGGACUCACAUUGUUCAUGCUUGUGCUGGAUAAACCACCUUCCUUACAUACUAACCCUGAACAUGUUUUAACAGGUCGUCCGAACUCUGAACUUCUGAAGUAAGCAUGUAGCUGAACAACAGUUGAGCUACCGCACUGAGUCAUUACUCAUUGGCGCAGACAAUUUGAGCAGUUAAAGGCAAAAGCAUCCCAGAUCUGAUCGGGCCGGUGCUGAAAGAAUAAAGAUUGGCUAUGAAUUUGAAGGGCAUGGACAUGGAGGAACGAGAGGGGGGUAGGGAGAAUCUGGCAAUGUGCGGUGCAGCGAAUCUGGUUGUCGUCUUCCUUCCCCGUCCAUGACCCGCCACUUCGAUUUGCUGCCCGCGAGCUGUGAUAUCCAACAACUCUGCAGGAACUGGAACUUUUCCCGGCCGACAUCAAUCGGGCCCGGUGGAUGAGAAGUGAGAACUCGCGGCAUCCGAUGGCCGGUCAGCCUCGGUAAGCCUUGCGCCCCGUGUUCUGAUUGGCUGGCUUGCUGAUCCGCGUCUUGUCGCUGACGGUGACGGCAGGACGGUUUGCAGGGUGGUUUUACCAGUACCACGGGGCCAAAAUACCCUGCUUAUAGUGGUGGGUGGCUCCCUCGUUCCUCCUACGUGAAUCCAAUUGGUCCUUGUGAAGCUCAUGUGCUCCAGAGAUUUUACUACCAUUUUUGUUUAGGUUCAAGCUAAAAGUUAGCGUCUUGUGCUUUCAUGGAUCAUUUGCAGCUUCUUCCUUUUUUCAGUAAUCAGUAAUGCCGUGUAAAACGGGAAGGACAUGCAAGAUUCUCCCAUCACACGUAUCACCGACACCUCUUGCACUCUUCUCCUUGGAGCGUUGUGAGCUUCUGGCCACAGGCCACCCCACUAUCGGUGACGUUGAUACAAACGCUUGGACACAAUGACACAGGCUCCAUCAUGCCUCUAAAUCAGACAAACUAAAAAAAGGCCGGUCGUCCUUUUUAAGAAAAGGGGGGUUUAAAGGCGAUCGCGACCGAACAAAAUUCUCUCGUGCACAAGCGCGCAUCGCCGGAUUUUCCGAUGCUAACAUGACAACAGGGUGCUAACCGAUCGGAUCUGCUAAACAAACAGGCACCAAAAAGCUGAAAGGGAUAGACCGCACAGACUCGACCUCGCGGAUAAGACCAUUUUUUCUAUGCCAACAUGCAAAAGUUUUUUCGUCUCUUUUUUUUUCUUUCUGAGAACACGCAAAAUAAUUUUUUUAUGUGAUCUUUUUUUAGGGCAAUUUUUACGUGAUGUUCAUUUCGUUGGGGAGGAGAGCAAUCAGCCGAGAGUGAAAAGGGGGUGGAUUGUGGAGUGGGCAGGAGGAGCAGGCGUACCUGUCUGCUUGAUGAGGUUCUCGUUGAUCCCGCAGCCGAAGUGGUUCCAGCUAUUCCACCUAACCCCACGCAUUUCGUCACCAGAGAGACCAGAGUUAGUAGCUGAUUAUUUACUGCAGAAAUCAGUGUUAGCACACGUGAUGCGAGCAUGAUUUGCAGACAUGCUUGACCCCUGCUGCUGCUGUCUGACUCUGACGGUCAUGGUUAACAGCAGCAGUGGCUCAAAAAAAAACUCGCCAUGCGAAAUACUAGCCGCGCAUCCACAGAAAUUACCGAACCCGAAGUAAUUAAUACUGCACUUAAACAACAGGGAAACCUGUAGGUUAUCGUUUGGUACGUCAUGCACGGUGAGAUGGAUAUGAAGUUUAUGAAAUGUCACUUUUGCCCUUUUAUCUCCUCACUUUUCCUUUCUCCCUUCCCUUUUAUCUUUUCACAAGUCAUUAACCAUACCGUUUGGAUGGACUAGUGUAUAAAAGUGCUAAACUUUAUCACUAGUUACUUGGACAAGUUGGCUUGCGCACUUGAGACCGAGCAGUUGAAUCAUGCCGGCACGGUGGCAGAGGCUCCAAAGACGGGCAGGAAAGGCGACAGGGGGAAAAACAAAGGGAAAGCAAAGGGAGGCCUCUGCCGCCAAAAGCACCAAAAAAGGGUGCAUCUUUUCGCCAUUUCCGUGGACGUGCUCCCUAGUCCCGACCUCUGCUAUCUACCACCGGUUUCCCCAUCAGAGUUUCCCUUCCACGGCGUCACACGCUACGGCCCAAUGGAAAUUUUUAACCGCGACAUGAUCAGUCGAUGUUCGACGUGGUAGCCUGCGAAUUUUCUGCGCGCAUUGAGGCAGUACGUGGUGAAAAGGACGGAGGGCAGACGGGGGAAAAAAGGGUCACCCACGUGCGCCGCGCCCGCGCUCACCCAAUCCUCCCUCCUCCUCGGCCGCGUCCUAAACAGCAAGUAAUCCUGCCGUCCGGCGUCCACAAGCAAGAAUCUAUCGGCGGAGACGGACAGGGAAAGGCAAGGAACAAAAGGGGCUUUAACAAUGGGCCGGCGUCGAAAGCAGAGCUCUCCGGAACGGGAUUGACACCGUCUCUCGUUUCGCUUCCGACGCAAGCCAAGGACAUGUCCGUUCCCUCCCUCGCUCCCCCCAAAAGUUUCGGCUCCGCCAGCAGCGGCUCGCCUCACUUUCCCCUCGCUAUCUCCGCCCCAGCCACCGUCCUCCGCCCAUCUCAGGAGUUUGGCUGGUCGUGCCACUCCCGAGCGACGGACGACAAGCACGGCGAACAAGAUCAACCAAAAAAAAAAAAACUCGAUGUAACAAAGCAGCAACCAGUGAUGCAGAGCGGGCAUCGGGGAGGCCGCAAUGCCGGCGGCGAGGCGUGCGUGCGUACGUACCCCAUCUGCGGCGUCCGGCCGAGGCCGUUCUCGAAGGCGCGCCGCCGGUGGCGCCACACGUACCCGUGCCCGUGCCGGGCACGCCUCGCGGCCCCGCGCAGCUCCUCCGUCCAGUUGCCGGGGAGCCUAGCCGCCUCGGUCGCGGUGGCGGCCGCGGCCGCCGCCACGAGGAGCGCCAGCAGUAUCGACGACGAAGAGCUCGGGCCGCGCGCCAUGGCCGGCACGGCAGGCAAGCUCUGCUGCUAAUGCAGAGCAGCGAGCGUCAGUUAAUACGGGAAGGGGACUGUGGAGGAGGGGUUGGGGCGUCGUCGGAUUGGGGACGCGGUUACUGGGCGGGGACUUUAUAUAGCCCCGGGUACGGCCGUGGUGGGUCCCACGGUGUCAGUGCCUAAUUCCUUUUUUUCCCCUCUUUAUUUCGUUUAUUAUUAUUAUUUGUUCUGCGUUGCUUGACUUGUGUCGUGGGCCAGCUCGUCUCUUGCGUCCACCAAUCGGUCUAGCACUAGCUGGCGCGCGUCGGCGUGAACGAUCGAUCGUUUGAUCAGUAUGGGGCCCAGCCGUCAGUAGCAGCGUACCGUACAGUUUCAGGGACGGCCGGCCGGACGGGACGAGUGAUGCCAUGGGCCACGGCACACGCAAAAUCUUCUGAUCUCGUAUUCCUACACUGUCCUGGCAUGUUUCAGGGUUCAUAUACUUGGAGUCUGUGGCACGCAUACAGUUCACGGGAUCAUGGGCAGUCGUGUCGUUGAGGGAUACCCUGCUAAUCAAGUAUAUGUAACCAUGGGUGCAGAGUAUUAUCUUGUUCUCCAAUACAGGGUAUUUUAUCGAGUUUUGCAAUCUUCAAAACUAUUUCGCGGUUUCAAUCCAUAUGGUUCUUCAAUAUUUACGACCAAAGUUUGGCCAAUGUAAUGACAAUCCCAAAAAUGCUUUGCAUCUGUUAAUCUGUGAUCAGGUAUACUAACCACUUUCGCUAGAAAUAGAAGCUUUAGGACCGCAACACUAUAGAACACUACUAAAGGCUCAGGACGUCAAAGGAAUUCGUACAGAAGGUACGUGCUUUUCCUGCCCGGACAAAUUCAUCCGCUAAUUCGGGCAGAGGACGGAUGAAUCAAAGCAAGGGCCAGGCCCCCAUCGUAUGGCAAAGCGCACGUCAGCUGCUUAUAAAAAUGGGCAAGGUUGUUCAGGAGGUGCGAUCACUAACCACUUAACCAGUUCAUAACUUCAUCAUCUCUUUUGUGUUUGUAUCCUCAUCACCUCAUGGUUAGUACUUAGUACUAGUGACUUUGUUAAUUCGGGGAAAAGCCCACCCAUCCCCUUUCCUGCGCACCCAGAGCAAAAGCGACGAUUUUCAAGCAACAAUUUCCGACCUUUUUUCUCCUUUUCGGCGCCAUGCAUGCAGGUGUGCUGGAGGGUUCACCUUUUUUUUAGUGUGUGAUCUUUUGGAGAUGUUAUUUUCAAAAAAAAAAUCUUUUGGAGAGGUUGAAAGUGGUCAACUAAAUUAUCUCUAAUGCAAACAUUUCCCUUAGGUGGCCUUUUUGCUUUUUAUUAUUCAGUAUAUCAAGCCUUUUAUGCCAGUUUCGACCAACACACUGUGUACCGACCUCCAUGUGAAUCUGGUGCUCAAAAAGUUAAUGCAGACUUUAUAAAAAUAAUGAACAAACUAUAACCACUUUUCUAAUCAAUUAUGUUUAUUUUUUCCGGGGACCAAUUAUGUUUAUUAAUCCCCCUGACUAAUGCUUGAUGAUAAAACCAGAAGCUUUUUUGAACGAAAUAAAACCAGAAGCUUUGCUACCACUGGUAAUGCUCGAUGAUCAUCGUUUCAUAUAUAGGACUCCGAUGCGUGCAUACCCAAAAGCACUCGCCAUGGCGGCCGCCCGAGUGGGCAUACACGGCGGCGCUGAAGAUGGGCAUGUAAAACCGGACGUUGACGCACGACAUAGGGACAAGGCCAUUCUGUCCCCACUCUCCAGCCACGGAUCCCAUCUGCUGCUCCUGGAGAGCCGGAUAUCCAUGGAGCGUGUUCAGACCUUCAGAGAGAUUCAGAGCUCGGACCAUCAUUACCGGUGGCUAAUGAUGGGGUUCGCUGCAGCAGAGCUGCUAGUGGGCAGUGAUCGAUCGGUGAUCCCGGCCCCUGGUCGCCGCUCCGAGUCGCAUUAGUGGACGAUGUCGUCACUUGAUCACCUGAUCGCUUGGCCUCUAAUCCUUCCUCCUCCCCAUUAACAAAUCCGAGUAAGUAACCAUAUCGAGGUGCCCACUGCGUGCCGAUGGUGGUCUCUAGCUUGUAGCGGAUGUGACGUGAAACGACAAGGAGAGGGGGGCAGAUGCUGCGAUAAAACACAGAAAAACGGAGUUGGCCAACAACACCUUGGAUAAAAAUGGCAGAACAGCGCAUUGUUGACUUGGUAGCGUCGUGGGAGGAGUCCCAUCGCCAGCCGCAAAUGUGCAGAUAGAUAAGAAGGCCUUGGAUUGGGUGAUUUUUUAUUUGGUUGCUUGAAAACGUUGCGCUGCGCACUGCAUUAUUGGACGAGAGAGAGAGAGAGAGAGCGAUGUGGUGGUGUAGCAAUCAACUCGAUGCUUAUCAUCUCGCUCAAAAUGAAGAGGAAAAACAUUACAGUAGUAUUGUUGAUGUCUAUCACUUGUGGAUCUGUGAGUGCACUUGGGAGUGUGGUUUCACCUCUGUAAUCUGCAUGAUCGUGGGGGAGCAUCAACGCCGAAAGCGUGAUGAUCUUCAGCUAUUGGAGGGUGCUCCAUCAUUCGUUGAUCCCUUGGUGGUGAUUGUAAGCACCGGAUAGAUACGUACGCCGACUUCGCUUCCCUGACAACAAAUCCGCGAAAGGGGGUACAAAAUCUGCUAGAAUUUCAACACUGCCGGAGAGUCCUGCUUUUCACCAGUCUCCACGCUAGUGGAAUAUCACAAGGAAUUAAUUAAUUAAUCAGUCGAAUUUCAAUGACGAAUCAAUUUCCCAUUCCCGAUCUUCCAUAGUUUGCCUGAAUUAGACUCACUGCGGUUUUGAUGUCACGGAAAAUGGCACGAUGCUAGCAUCUACAGAAGGCAAGGGGCCAACCAAACCAGUGACAGGCGGAGUCUUGGUACCUUCGACAGGACAACACUGCAUUCCCGCACGUUUGAGCUGCAGCGUACUCCGAUCCAUGUGAGAAGUGCAAGGCGGGGCUAGUGUAUGGCUCGUCUGGUAGCCCGGAUGAGCCUAGUUGGUGCAGGUUAGCUUUUUGGUAGCUUGGAUGAGGUCACUUAUCAGGUUGAGAUGGUGAAAAAAAAGGCCAGCCAGCCUACAUAGCGUGGAACGCCAAAAUCGACCGUUCCACGCGGUGCAGGCUCUGUCGGCCCAAGCAGUAGCGUUACGGUGAUCUCCGGUGCCUCGCGACCCAGCCCUGCACGUCUCGACGCUGGAGCGCUGCCGUGCCAUGGCCUCCAGCCGAGCACCAUCACCGUUUCGUCCUGGAGACUGCCUGUGUGCCCGCCACCUGCGCCCUCAGCCACCCCGCCGGCCAAGCCGCCGCUGGCCAAGCUCCUGCCAUGCGCCUCGCGGUUGAGCUGAGCUCAUACCUCCUGGAACCGCCGGCCCGCCACCCACCAGGGACGAGCUCAAGCACAAGCUAAAAUUCUUCGAUUAUUGAAAGAAGUAGUAGUUGUAUUUCUGAGAUUGAUGGCACGCACGCGUAUGAUGAGCAACUACUGCACGGAGGUUCGGGAGCUCAGGUUCUUGGAGAGCCUGGGUCUGGAGCCAAGCUACAUGAAGGAGAUGAUGGGCGAGCAGGAGCAUCACAUGGCUGUCAACUUCUACCCAUCGUGCCCCUUGCCGGAGCUCCCCUACGGCCGCCCAGCCCACACCAAUGACGAUGUAUGGAUGCGUGCAGCCUCGCUGAUGCGCCACCGUCGCCCCAUGCUCAGUGAGGAAGAAAUUGAAGGGGCAGUGUCAAGAGGGCCGAGCCGGCAUCUACAGCAAUGUCGGCUCCCUUGCUGGUGGUGGCGGCAGCAAGUUUGUGAGGGCCGAGGGGGAUGACGACGCUCGCGCUCCCCGAUUUCUCCUCGCAGCGAUAGUGGUGGCGGCAAGCUCGUUGACUGGGAAGCCCUGGUGGGAGCAGGUUGUGCGGCGCAGGCAAGUGGCCGUGGUGGGCGGCGAGCAGCGGUGCGUGACUGGUGGCGCGAGCACCAAGCGGAGGUAGCGAGCGCGGCAAGCAGCUGCGGCGUGAGGUGCGGCAUGGGCGAGCGUGGUAAGGGCCUGUUUGGUUAUGGAUGCUUAUUUAUAAGUUGCUUAUUUGCUUAUUAUGGUUGCUUAUUUAUAAGUCUUAGGUGUUUGGUUUGGGUUGCUUAUUUGCAAUAAAUGAGACUGCUAUUGACACAUUUGCCCCUACCAUCCCAUUUCCCUCUACCCUCACAUUUGCCUACUGCAUCAAAUAGGCUAAAUUCCCCUCCGACCUCUCUGCUGAUCCUCGCAUUGCUCUGUGUGAACCCCUUCCAUCUGUUCUCAUCCAUCAAGAUCUCAUAUAUGUCCUUGGCGCGGCAGUAGAACUUCUCCGUCAUCUCAAUCGUCUUGAACCCCUCCUUGUCCUUCCCCUUGGCCUUCUUCUCCUUCGCAGCCGGCGCAGGAGCGGGAGGCUCCUCCUUCUUCACAGCCGGGGCGGCGCCAGGCGCUGCGGCGCCGGCCUUGGCGGGAGUCUUCUUGGACUCGAGCUCGUCCUUGGCCGGGCCGCCCUUGGCCAUGGCGGCGACGAACUCGCGGAUCUUCUCGAGGACGAGGGGCUUGCCGCGGGCGAGGAAGGCGUCCUUCGCGCGGCGCGCGAGCGGGGUCUCGUCGCCGCGGACGGUGACGCGGAGGUCGGGGUCCUCGUCGGCGUUCUCGUCGGCGAGGUAGGGGACCUCGGCGGCGCCGGCGACCUCGGCGGCGCCGGACUCGGAGGCGGCCUCGGCCUCCCAGGAGAGGGUGAGGGAGAGCUCGUACCCCGGGAUGACCUUGCCCUUGCGGAUGUUGACGUAGGCCUCGCCGUCGAGCUUGUCGAGGGCCACGGUGUGGAGCGUGAGGCUGCCCUCGCCGUCGAGGACGGUGAGGCCCGCGAGGCGGGCGGCGGGCGGCGGCGGGCGGGAGGGGCUGCGGCGGCGGCGGGCUGGAGCGGCGGCGGCGGCGGGCGGCGGCGGGGAGGGACCGGCGGGCGGGGUGGGAGCGCCGGGCCGGGGGAGAGAAGGAGAGAGAGAAGGGGAUCUGGGGAAAGGAGAAAAGUGGGAGGAGAGAGAGAAAAGUGGUAAGGGUAGGGGGGUAAAGAGUACCCCAUAAGCAAAAUAAGCAGCUCCAAACUUGCUUAUUUGCUUACGCAUAAACAACUUAUAAGCAACUCUAUAAGCAAGGGUGUUUGGGUUAUAAGCAACUUAUUUGCUUAUUUGUAAGUUGCUUAUUUAUAAGCAAUGCUAACCAAACAGGCCCUAAGUCUGCCACAGCUAGGAUGUAAGGUGAGUCCACCAAUUUGUACAAGUUAAUAAACAAAGUUUUAAAUGAGCCAGACCCACCAAAUACAAAAUUGUCAAACAACAUCUCUGCAUCUCGUCAGCCUGGCUGAGCUGGUCAGAACCUGGCUCAUGGGCUGGCUGAGCCGGAGCAGGCUGCCACACGCCCCCUAUCUGAUCCUGAUCCUUGGGGAUCGAAGCAAAGGCCGGCCGGCCGGAUGGCCGGAUGGGUUGGCAUCGGUGACGAAUCCAGCAGGGUGACGACUGACGAAACCAAUCGAUGCUGAUGACUGGAGCGUGACUCGCUUUGAUUGCUUGCACGAAACCUUAGGAGUGGGAGGGGAUUGUACAUUGUAGUUUCUUUUAGGUCGGCGUCCUUCUUUUUUGGGGGUUGAUUGGUUGGGGCUUCCGUCUCGUAGCAGCGCCGCCGAUUGUGCUGUAGCGGAGAGCCGAGUCGGCACCGGCGCGCAGGCGCCUGCAUGGCAAGGGCGCACCUGCGCCCGCGCGCGCCGACCCCGCCCCUCCACCAACACAUGCGCUGCGCGCGCGCCCCUUGCUUCUGGCAGCGGGUGACGUACGGCACUGCCAUCCCGCCCGGACGGGCCCCGGCGCGGCAGACACGCCAGGGCAGCAGAGAUGCCAGGGUUCUCGCACUCGCGCCGUCGCGCGCGUGCCGCGGCGCCGCGGAAGCUAUCGGAGGAGAGCGAUCGAGAGGAACGCGCGCGCGCCCGGCCGGAGCCGGGCUGGAGCCCGGCUAAUACAUACGUUACGAGGUGGUUGCCAUACGCGCCGCGACGGUCCGCCGGUCCGGCGCGGCCUUGGCAGCCGGCUACACGGAGUACACGCGCACCGUGCGUCAUGGCAUGCACGGAUGCACCCCGGAACGACGACGCAGGUUCAAAUCUCCAUUCCAGCGCUUAGAUAAAAGUUAAAACUGCACAAAAACUUUGCAUCCGAGAAGGAGCGAUAUUAGCCUUUUCGCGCGUAUUAUUAUCCUCUCACUGACCCAUCAUUUUCGAGCAAGCCGCCGGCGCCGUGUCCUUGUCCGACAUGGGCCGCGACGCAUGCUCGCUCAAAUUGACUCUAGUUCGCUCGACGGAAGCUUGAGCCUGCACCACGUCAUCGGUCUCCUUAUCCAGACACUCGUGCAUCCUACUAUACACCUACUGUGCAUGCAACACAACCCUGGCACGCAAGAGCCCAUGAUUCUUCAAUCAAAGUGGCCAUGAUUAAACAGUUGAUGAUGAUCAAACCGACCAUGCCUUCAAGGCCAAGGAACCAAUUAAGGAUACACUCAUACACGUACGCCUGCGCUGCUUCUUCGAUGUGAUGAUUGGCGAUGAGACCGGUCUGGCUAGUGUCGGGGAGGCGCCAUCGAUCUCAUCGUAUGCACGCUGUCUGGCUUGGAAGCUCAACACCUGUAUGUCCCAGCCCGCUCGAGCACAAGGGAAGUAGGGAACGGGAAAAAAGGGUAAUCAUCACCGUACGUACCAGGCUUCGUUCUUCAUCGUUGCUUGCUGGCGUCUCUGUCGUUCGGCUUCAGAGGCUACGUACCACUUCUGGAUCGAUUUGCUUGUAACCGGCAAUCAAUUAUGGCUCUAUCAUCCAUUCAUCCGCGCGCAAUGUUGAAACUCUCAUAGCAGCCAACCCAAGGAUAAUAAAGUUUCAGCAUCUUUCUGAGAGAAUGCCCAUCAGCCAUGAACUCAUCAUGCCGCGAUGUGGCCAGCCCCCACAGCUACAACUGCACAAAGUGAUGCAAGGAGAGUUUAUUGAAAGGCAACGCUAGCUAGCUAGCCAACUGUCCCAUUGCUCUCUGUUAGGAAAAAAAACUGACCAGAAUGGAAGAAGCCACUAGUAACCACCCUUGGAUUUGUUUGGCAUUGCGACGGGAAUAAUGCGGUGUCCCAAAGCAAAGGGGAAGGACUGAACGAGACAAGAGCAACAUGCCCUUGACUCUCGAGCCUUCUGCUUGGGAACUGGAAAGCAUACAUGCACUGUGAAGAGUGACGGUCCUGUGUAUCUCUGUCCGAAAUGCUUUUAGUUUGUACUCAGCGGGAUUCUUCGUAUCUCCCUGUUACCUUUUGGAUACGAGCUGCUAAACUUUAACAGUAUCACAUCGGAUGUUCGGAUGCUAAUUAGAAGAACUAAACAUGAGCUAAUUAUAAAAUUAAUUGCAGAACCCUGUGCUAAUUCGCGAGACGAAUCUAUUAAGCCUAAUUAAUCCACCAUUAGCAAAUGGUUACCGUAGCACCAUAUUGUCAAAUCAUGGAUUAAUUAGGUUUAAUAGAUUCGUCUCGCGAAUUACACUCCAACUGUGCAAUUAGUUCUAUAAUUAGUCUAUAUUUAAUACUUCUAAUUAAUAUCAAACAUCCGAUGUGACGGAUGUUAAACUUUAAUAUGUUAGAACCAAACAGACCCUUAAAUGCUCAGAAGCGAAAAACUUGUCCUGAUUGACUGCGGCGUGUCUUCCAUCAUCGAGUGGUUGACAGGUGACGACGAUGCCGGUUGGUAGGAGACUAGGAGCUGCGUCUUACUAGUCUUUCAAGCACGCGGUACUGAUGUGCUGCUUCUCAAGGCCAAGGAAUGGGGCUAGGAUGAUACACGUACGCCAGCGCUAGCUCCACGCGAUAAUGGCCGGCAACGAUCGGGAUUGGUGACGAGGCUGCUGCGAGCUGGCUGCCAUGCGUGCCGGGCCAGGAGGCGCCGAUCGCGCGCGGUUUGACGCGCGCGCGGCGCGGCUGCUCUUUAUCUCCCUCUUUUAUCCAAGCACUCGUGCAUCCUACUCUGCCUACGUUGCAAAUCUCAACGUCGUGUGGUGUGGGCGGCCGACCUGCGCACUGCCGCCGGACCCAGCCGAUGCCGAUCUGCGUAGUAGCUAUAUGUCCAAGUGGCAGCUUCUGUCAUGCGUGGAGAUCCCUCUGACCUUCAAUUUUCAGCGGAACGUCUCUCUGAUCCCAAGCUAGCUGCCUGCUAGCUCCAAUCAUGCACAUACGUGUGUGCACGAAACGAUGUUUCCAGCCAUGCCGGCCGAGGUUGGUUAGCCUCGAUCGCCUACCUACCUCCAUCCACAUAGUGCCAGCGUGAGCAGGUAGCGAUUGAACAGUCGAACGAAGCUCUAUAGGUGGUGUGCCCUGUGCGGCUGUGCCCGCAACACCUGGCGCCUGAGCCCACAAUCCCAUCGAACCGACCAUGGCUUCGUGGCCAAGGGAUCGAUCCACGUACAUGCUACAGUCCAUGGUAUAUAUGAUCGGCAAUGAUUGGCCACGAGCUAGAAAACGCUAGUGGCUAUGCGCUAGUGUCGGCCAGGGCUAGAAACUCCGACGCGCGCGGUCGGCAUCAUCGUCAGCACGCUUUUACCUCGAUCAUCUCCUGAGUCCUCCUCGAUCGCUUGGAUCCCAAUCGAGCUCAAUAAGUGAGCGGAACGGAAAAGGAUCAUCACAAUUCACAAGUCGUCUUCGCCUUCGCCGUCUCUGUCCUUGACCUCCACAGCAGCCUUAACUUGCUAGUGACAGGCGAUUAGCAAUGGGUUGGAUUGGAUGGGCUGCUUAUCCGCAAAUGGACGACGUUUCUUGCAAGGAUAAGCAAAAGCAUGAAGAGCGUCAUCCCACAACAUAAAUGCCGGAUCAGCUAUAAAAGUGAUGGAUGACAAGACAGCGAUAUCGAUAAGGUGAGGUUUAGUUUAGGGCGUGUUAAGUUUAGCUCUUGUCACAUCAAAUGUUUCCAAGGUUUUACUAGCUAGCGAGCCUAGGGCUUAGGCUUCCUUUGCUUUGUUUAGCCUCGACACAUCCUGUUCGUUUCAGCUUAUUCAGUCGGCUUAUCAGCCACUGAACAGUGUUUUUCUCUUACAACAAAUCAGCCGUUUUAACUUUUCAGCCAGCUUAUAAGUUCAGCAUGUACGCGACGCGAUGGUGCGCGAGAAGAAGACAUGAAAGCAGUGGGAUGUGGUUGGGGGUCCUGGGCCCACUGACUACUCAGCCACUGCUGGGCUGGGAAGCAGAGCACGGUGGAGAUGGUUCGGCACUGUAUGUCUGUAUCGAUCGGUCUCUGCACAAAAUGUUUGUGCGGACUGGGAUCCUCUAUCCCGUCUCGUCGCCUUCUUUUUUCUGAGAAGAAAAUUCAGAACAAGACAGCCUGGCCUGAUUGCCAGCAUGCUGUCCGUCACCUAGCCGAGUGGUGGUUGACAGAGUGACGACAGUCGACGAGGACGUCGUUUGGUGCGAGCUGCCCUUGUUUUUUUCAAGCAGUGGUUAGUUGUCACGUUGGACUUCGAGUAUUUUGAGGAGUUCAAUCUUGACCUAUAUCACCCAGUGAGAUGCACUAUGAUUGGUGCCCGAGAAAUUUGGGUACGUUAGCACUCGACGCCGCGUGGUUUAAUCUAAUUACGUGGAGGAAUUUCAGUACUUCAUGUGAAAUUUGCAGGAAUUCAACGUAAAGCGGCGUAAUCCCUGAACUUUUGCGGCCGAAAUGCUCUUAACGCUCUUUUGUCGUCAGCCCCGCCGUAUAACUUCGUUUCAACAGCCCAUGGGCCGCCAAAUCGGGCGUUCUCGGCCCGGAUUCAGCCCGGCUUUUUGCUUCAAGGUAUCGUCGGCCGUGGUAAAGAAGGCCCACCGGUACCAGUGUGCAAAGUCAUGUAUACUACAGUACUAGGUCUAAAAAAAAAUGUAUAGUACAGUACUACAAGUAUAUCAUCGUCCCCUAAAAGGAACACAUUCUUAAAUCCCUGAUCCUUAAUAGGCAUUUAUGCAAGUAGCAGUACGAGCAAAUCGCCCAAUAUCUACCAACGCCACGUCAUCUCCGCCGACCGGCAUCGUGCGCCGUCCACGGGACCGGGGCCGCCGCGCUCUGCUUCUACCGGAGCCUGGACUUGAGCACGAACAUCCUGCACGACCGCGCCGCGACGUCGAACGCCAUCUUGUCCGUGAACGCGGUGUCCAGCGUCUUGUGCUGCGAUCGACGACAACAACAGCAACAAUGUCAAUCCGCUGUGCGGCGAUCGUACGUCCCGACGAGCCAACGCGGAACCGCGCGCGGCGUAUACGUACCAGCCACAGGUCCCUGGCCUCGACGGCGGUGCCGGCAGGGAGGCCGAUGUCGUCCCAGCGCGCGGUGAUCGUGGCCUCGUCCGUCGCGUGCCGGUUCAGCAGGACCACCGCCGUCCGGUAGUCCGACAGCGGCGCCGCCCAGAUCUCGCUGCUCCCCUCCAUCCUCACCUUCUUCGCCUGCACGCCGAGCGGAUCUGUCCCAGGCCGGGACAGGGCAGGAGCUCCUCCCCGUCAGUAAACUGAACACGAGCCACUGAAGCUGGAAACGCUACAGCAUGGUCUCAGCGCUCACCUUGGUUGACGGCGAUCACCUCCUUGUUGGCCAGGAUGUCGUACGUCUCCUGCGGCAUGUGCCUCAGGUCGCAGCCGAUGAUGAGCGGCGCCUGAACACGCAUCGGAUGGGUUCGAUCAUCGAUGAGACGGAAAGGUUCAGAGAAGGAAAUGCUAACUUUUUUGUUCUGCGAUAGAAUAAUGCGGAGGAAAUGGAUGUCACCUUGGAGAUCGCCCACAGGCUGAAGUGCACGACGUACUCGUUGUUCUUCAUCCCCCCGUUGCCCACCUCCAGCAUGUCCGGGUCUGCACCAUCGAAGAAGACGACGAAUUCAUGGCAUCGAAGAACACUUUCUAGGAUCUGAAAUGAGUGGUGCACAUGGCAUGGAGAAACCGGGCGGACCGUUCCAGCCGCCGGGGCGCGCGUACUCCGCCCACACCUCGUUCUGGUCCGCCGUUGCGAUCAUGCUGAAGUGAAACGCAGGCAACAAAGUAAACAAAAUCGGCACGGUGGCGAUGCGGCAAGAAGAACACGACGGCCAUGGAGAUGAACACGAACGCUGCCUGACCUCUCCCAGGUGUCGGCGAUGUCGUUGGUGGUCCUCCAGCUGUUACCGUAGGCCGCGCCCCACCGCGCCGGGUGCAUGUCGCCCCUGAACCACGAAUACGAUCGAUCACCGGAACAUGUCAGGAAACAGUGCAUGAUAUCCAUGGAUUCUAGUCAUUCAGGGUUAGAUUACUGAGGACAGUGACGUCGUCCGUGGCAACGUACCAUUCGCACAGCGAGAAGUAGAUGGGCCUGCCCGCCUUCAUCAGGGCCUUGCUCAUCUCAGGGUACCUGUUCACUCGCCACAAACUUGUCAGCAGGUACACUCACUCGGCUGCCUACAUCUGACUGUCAGGCAGGGAGACGCUCAGAUAGUCAGGAGGCUCAGGGCAGGCCAUUUGUGUCGCGCACCUCUCCAGCGGCUUGAGGUCGCCGUUGUUGCAGUUGUCGUACUUGAGGUAAUCGACUCCCUGCGAGGACAGAGCCAAGGAAACGGGACACGAAACAGUACUCGAAUCGUCAAAUCACACAUUAUCCUCUCCUGUUUGAUGAAAAGUAGUAGUAUCAGCAGAUGGUGCUGUACACUCACCCAUGCCGCGAAAGUUUUGGCGUCCUGCUCCUCAUGGCCGAGGGAGCCCGGCUGGACCUUGGCGCAGGUCUGGAACCUGCAGAGAAUUGCGCACGGGAGAAGAGAACAGUGGUUUACACUUUACACCAAGUGCAGUGCAGGAGGAAAGAGAAACGAAGGGAUCGCUUGACGACCAGAGCAGAGACAGAGCAUCGCUUCUCACCCGGCGUCGGAGUAAAUCCCGAGCUUGAGCCCCUUGCUGUGGACGUAAUCCGCGAGCGCCUUGAUCCCGUGCGGGAACGUGUUGGUAUUGGCCACCAGAUUGCCCUGCAUCCCGCCGGCGAUCGAAGAUACAACAUGCAAGGUUAAUUCUGCUCAGUUCAGUUCAGACACCAGCACCAUUCCAAAAAAAAAAAGUUCAGACACCAGCGAAUCGGCUUGUGCUUACCAUUGCAUCACGUUUUGGCUCUGCCCAGCAGUCAUCUGACAGACAAAGAACACAUGAUUAUCCAGUUCAAGCAAGAAUUAUUAUUAUUUUGCCGAAAAGGAAAGGAUGAAGAACCGGGAAGGCUAUAGUGGGGUGAGCUGGCGCACCGAUGUUGACGUAUUUGUAGCCGAGAGCAGCGAGCCCGGUCGACACGAGUGCGUCAGCUGAUGAUCGAGACAUGGGAGGCAAUCAAUCAAGCAAGAAAGAAAGAAACAGAGAGAGCAAGAUCAUCACUUCACCAGCCGCUCAAUUCAGAAUCAGAAGGCGAGCUCGACUGCUACUGAAACACACGAGCUGGGGCCUAAAACGAAGCUGAGCAAGUACCGGUCUCCCUGAUGACCACCUCGCCGUUGCCGUCGCACUGGAAGUGGUUCCAGCUGUUCCACCUGCGGUCAGGAAUCAGACUCGGAUCAACUCUCGCGCGACGAAGGCUGACACUUCACACUUGGCAAGAUGCCAAGGUUACACAAGGAACCACAAAAGAAGAAGAAGAAGAAGAAGAAGAUAGAGGUCUUGCAGGUCACACCCCAUGGGAGGUGCCGAGCCGAGGCCAUUGGCCAGCAUGCUCCGCCGGUGCGGCUCCUCCACGUGCACCACCUUGGCCUCCGCCGCAACCGCCGCCGCGAGAAGCAGCACCAUCAGCGCCAGCCUCGCCGGCGACGGACCAGUACGACGGCCACCACCCGCCAUCGCUGCCCUCCCCGAACCAGAAAAACCUUCACUCCGCACGAGAUCAAGACUUUGUCACUCGUGCCUUCGUCUCGGACUUUCGUCGCUCCUUGCCUUCGUGGACCAACACUUGUGCUCCCCCGGCCAUUUAUAGACCCCCCGCGACUGAUGAUUGAUGAGGGGCGCUUUAUCGAAUUUUUCCAGCACGGACGCCGACCGACGUGUCGCCUUCGCCUUGUCGGAAAUGGGCACACCGGAGCACAGAAGCGCCCAGGCUCCCUCACACGUGAUCGGCGGGCAGAGUGUACACGUGGGCUUUUAAGCAUGGGCCCACUCGGCAUGGGCGCCCCGUCAAGGAUGCCCCACGGGUAAAGAGAAGCGGCCCACUGGCCCAGGACGAUAGACGAAUCGGAAUCGAUCCACCGGUUUGAUUCCCAGCGGCCAGCGCAACGUUAUCCGGAGGACGCGACGUGAUGUGGACUCGUCUCUUGCGUCAUUGUGUGUUUUCAGUUCGUGCGUAGCAGGCUAGCAGGGUAUGGCAGGAUACCGUUAAGUCAUGGAUUACCAUAACAAAGUUUGUGAUCAUACAUAAAUUCGCGGAAAGGGCUCGCACGGAUCUGCGCAGGACUAGACACGUAUCGGGGUUCGGGAGCUGAGCUCGCGGAUUCCCGGCGCAUGACGUCACUAUCUCGUACGGAACAUCGAGGCUUUUGCUUUUGGGAUAAUGGGAUAAGAUAGGAUAACUCGAGCAGAGCUCAAGCAGCUGCAUACUGGAAGUCUCAAACCAAUCACUAUACGUUCUUGGUUGGGCGCGAUCACACGCCACGCGCCAACGAGGAACCCGCAACGAUCUGAUCAUGUUAUGCCCGUCACACGCCAAUGAUUGACCCAUUACACGUAGCGGGAGCUUACGGGCAGCUCCCGAACGUACGUACUCCGUGCAGGCGAUCUCGUCAGCCUUUUCCAUAAUGAUUUGUGGGCCGUGGCACGUGUAUAAUUUAAAAUAUAAUAAAUAAUUUUAAAUAAUUUUUAUAAAUAAAAUAAGAUAGCAAUUAUUAUAGAAAUCCGAGUAAGCAAUAAAAGACAUAUCGAUUGAAAUAAACGAACCUAUCUUUAUCAACUAACGGUCUGUACGGACCUUGACCAUAUACUUCUUCACCUUUUUUUAAUAUAGUCAUACAAAUAUUUCACCGCAAGGUAAUGGCUUCUACACUCUAACCCUAGUGUAGUGUAUACUCUUCUAAUUCACAUCUCGGCGCUAUGUUGGACCUUUAGCCUUUUAGCUGAGCAGCUCGGCUUGUGAACAAAAACAAGUAAAAAUAGCUGCUCGACUCGUUUAAACCUGUGUGCCCAUAGGAAAGAUCAGCUGCAACAUUGCAAAGUGUUUUGGACGCAUCAAUGUAAUGCUUUCCAGAUGUUCCAAAGGACCGCCGUGGUGACUGCCGAGAGUGCCGCCGGGGCAGCGUCGUCAGACAGAUCAGCAAGAGUCCAGAGGUUGCGGUAGGAGGUCAAGUGCAGGGCGGCAAUCCAACCAAUGGCGCGCCAGACAGCAGCUGCUCGGGGACAACGCAACAGGAGGUGGUGUUGAUCUUCGUAGGCGUCGCAGAAGGCACAAGCGGCAAAUUCCACAAUAUUCCGGUGAUGCAACAAUGCAACCGGAGGAAGGCGGUGAUGAUGCAUGAGCUAUAGGGAGUGCUUGCACUGUGGUAUGACGAAGUUUUGCCAGAUGGAAACCGCGAAGUUAUCAAGAGGCCGUUGUUGCAUGUGUCAAGCAUAGAGUUUGGUAGAAGAGAACGGCUGCAUAAUCCAACUUAUAUAAUUUAAUUUAGGUGGAUUAAUUCCAAACAAACAGAAUCUAAGAAUACUAAUGGGAGAAUACUAAUGGGGGCACGAGCACGCGAACCAUUCUUUGACGUAUGAACACAGCUGCCGGGCAGGUCCUAAUCUCGCAUGAUUACUUUAUGGGGUCGAUAGCGUGACCGCCCCAGUCGCUUUGGAGCCAAAAGUGUACUUCGCCUUUUUAUUUUUAUUUUUCCCGAGGGUUGAGCUUCCUUUAACGCUGCGAGCCUGCGACACACGACUUCGCCAGAAUUAAAAUGCUUCUAGCAUCAGUUUGGCAGGGUGUUGAACGUGCGUUGACUUCGAUCGGGUUGUACCCUAAGCCCAUUUUAAGUUAAGAAAAGCCGCCGGGUUCUAUAUCGAGCUAUCAAGCUUCUCUGUCUGUACCGAAAAGUAGUCGACAGCAUGGAACCGGCACCUGCAACACGUCGUUCAGAUGUGUGCCGCUCCUUUGACGCACGAGUUCCGUGAACGAAAUCGUGCGGCAACUGACGCACACUGCACGCGUACUCCUGCCACGCUUGCUUGACCAUGCACUGCUCCACUCCAUUGCACCCACCCCGACAAGGCCACAACCACAACAAUAACCUACAAGCCAGCAAGGGAAGGCUGCGAGCUUCGCAAUUGCCUCGUGGGGGUUGGGUGGGGACGGGUCCCACCUGCCAGCCACCGCCAAUCCGGGGCCGCGCCAACCAUUAACUUAACGGCUGCUCUCAUCACAUCUGAUGAUAACGCGCACCGCAAUGAUCCCGUGUCAGUCAGCGGUCGCGCCGGUGGCGCGGCGCGGCGGCAAAUGAUUAUUAGUAGCCCGCACAGCGCAGCGAUAACCAUCGCGACGCCGCUAAUGACCCGGAUUAUUAUUUUACUAUCCAGUCCAUCCCCGCAGCUGCCUGUCUCGGCGCCCCAACCCAGGCAGGCACCCACCGCCCGCGGCGCUGCCACGUCGUCACCCCACCGCGGCCGCCUUCCUCCCCACCAACUCACCGGCGAGUUGAGGACACCCAGCUAGGCCCAGCGCAUCUCGCCGCGGCGAUGCCGUAUAUAUCCACCCGCGCGCCGAGCGACCACCACCGCCCGCCCGCCCCCAACCCCACGUCCUCGCAAAAUUCGCCAAACUGCCCCUCUCGUUGAAAAAAAAAGGGGAAGGCGAGGGGAAAGGGAAAAGGAUUUUUCAGAUUUUGCGGGCAGCGACCGACCCCCACAGCUCCGCGCAGCUAGCUACCUUCCUCGCCCCGACAUGACACCGCAUCUGCCCACCGCCUCCUCCUCCUCCUCCACCCGCGCCGCCGCGGCGCACCACCACCUGCUCGACGCCGCCGCCGCGCCGCCGUCCUCGCCGCACCAACGCCGCCGGAGGCGCCGCCGGGUGCCGGGCUGCCUCCGCCCCCGCUCGGCGGCCCCCGUCCGCUGCUGCGCGGCGGCGGCGGCGGCGCCCGCGCCGCAGGCCGCGGUGCCUGUGGCGCGGGCGGCGGCCGCCACCACGCGCGUCUUCGUCGUGUCCGACCUCCACACGGACUACCCGGAGAACAUGGACUGGGUGCGCCGCCUCCCCGCCGAGGUCGGCGCCGGGGAGGGCCCCGGCGUCGACGCGCUCGUCGUGGCGGGCGACGUGGCCGAGACCAGGGACAACUUCGCGCGCACCAUGGAGGUGCUCAGGGACCGGUUCGGGGCCGUCUUCUACGUGCCCGGGAACCACGAUCUCUGGCUGCGCCGCGAGGGCGGACGCUACGUGAGUCGAUCCUCCUCCGCUCCUUCUCCCCUCCCAGCUCCUCCAUCCGCCUUCCAUGCCCUGCGAGCAAGGUGUUUGACGAAAUGCCCUGCCUUAGCUGUUCCGGCAUAGGUUAGUCCACCCUGAACCAUCGAUACAGCUAGCCGUAGCUGGAUUUGAUCCAACGGUACAUUGUAACGUUUGGCAGCAGCAGCAGCAGCCUGGUUGGCGCUUGCCCCUGUUUAGUAAGCUGCUUAGAGGCCUAAUUUUAGAUGUGGCAAAGUAUACCAAUGGGGUUUUGAUUUUAUUCAAUGCUUUCUAGCAUUCCUGUCCAUCUGAGCUACAUUUCAUUUAUGAAUGUAUUUAUUUAUAUGCUGACAGAAAGGGUUAGCAUUGCACUUAGAUAAUUGCUACCUACAGAUUACUUUUUGGGUUUUGGGAGAGAGAGCUCUUAAGUAACUUGUGCAGAUUGUUAGCUAGUUAGCUAGUACACAGCUGAAAGGGAUGAUAUGGGGUUGUAUUCUUAGCUAAAGCGUAUAUUAAGUACACGAUAUUCUACUUCUGAGUACAGCAUUUACCUUUUUUUAUCGAAUCAAUACAGAAUUACUGUAUCAUUGUUGAGGCUCUCUCAGUUACUCAAAUUGUUCCUUCCAGAUGGAUUCGCUGGAGAAACUGACUGCAUUGCUUGAUGCGUGUAGUGAGCUGGGUGUGGAUACAGGCCCAAGAAUGAUAGGUGACUUGGGAAUCAUACCAUUGUUCUCAUGGUAUCACAAGGUCGUUUAGUUUUCCUUGCUUCAGUAACAGUGGAUAUUAAAGCCAUAUUACAAUGCAUUGCAUUCUUAGGAUUAUCCUGCUUUUCUCAUCUUUCUUAAUUGGUUGUCUCGACUCUCCAGAGCUUUGACAAGGAGAAGGACGUUAACAGUGUGCGCGUUCCUUCGCUAGAGAUGGUAUGAUGGUCUUUCCCUCAAUACAUAUUCCUCAUUUGCUAAUAACUGUUACAGUGUUACCAAUUAUUGUCAAUUAGUGCAGUUUAAAUUUUGUUUUUUUCUGGGUAUAAAUGAUGAGCUGUCAACUAUGAAAUUCCAUCAUCUGUGUUUUACAUCUUGACAUGACCCAGGACCUAUUCUUUGACCUUGUGUGGCAAUACCAUAAUUAGAUUUGCCUUUUUUACAAUGUUAUGUGGAUUCCAUAUUAGCAAGAGGACCACUUGAUUUAUUUUGCGCAAUUGGAUACCACAAACCAGGUCUUCCAUCACGGCCACUAACAAACUCACUGUCUGAGUAUUCAUACUAUGCUGUACAAUGAGAAAUAUUGCAUUCACACACACUGAAGCACAGUUUAAUGGUUAGGCAUGCCAUCAUUGCCCUCUUUCUUAGUUUCUUCUUAAAGAACUUGGCACAAUAAAUCCUGAAAUUCCUUGUAUCUAUGAACUGAUAAUUUCUGGUUUUGUUUGAUCAGGCUUGUAAAGAUUUCCAUGCUUGUAAAUGGCCUUCAGAUCUGGCAAAUGAUGAUGAGUCUCUUGCUCUUUACUUUGACAAAUUGAACGACAAGAAUCAUGAUGCUAUUGAAGAAGUAAAAAAUAGCAGCAAACAGAUACUAACAUUUUCACACUUUGUACCAAGGUGAGUUCUUUUUUUCCUCCUAUCUUGACCUUCCAGUUCAGAAGCCAGUUGUAGUUUGUUUGAUCCCUAGUUCUGAUAGUAUUCUUUGAUUGCAUUACUUAGUGUACAUCAAUUGAUCUAAUCUAUGUAAGCUCUUUAAUAUUUGUAAGUUGAUGACACCUGCACAAUGGAGCUUAAUUUAGGGGUAACAUUCCUUCUAUUAAAAAAUUCACUGUGUGUCUCGUUCUUAUUUAGUCAUCAUUCCUAGCAAUUGCAGUGUCUUUCUUGUCGUAUUUUUUUAUUUAUUUAUGAUGAGAACACCUUAAACUGCUGUACCAUUCUUAGCAAAUGUACUCCUUUUGUUGUCUUGUUGAAGUGCCAGUUUAGAACAACAAAGUUUAUAGCUGCAGCGGUGGUUUUCAAUUUGGCCAGUUUUGUCUGAACUAGCCAUUUGGCGUGUUAUGCUCUGUAACAUAGAGGAAAAGAGAACUGUCUAAUUACAUUAAAAUUGCACAACCAUCUGCUAUGUGAAGCAUAUCCUAAGUCUUCUAACUGGCCUCUCUUACCCCCACUAUAUUUGGGGUUUCCUGUGUUACUUUAAAAUUUCAGCAUAGCAUGUAUAUGCUCAUGGUCCGAAAGUGAUAUCCUUUGUACAAUUCUGCAGGCAAGAGUUGUGUCCGGAGAAACGGAUGCUUUAUUACCCAUACCUUCCAAAGGUCAUCGGCUCUGAUUUCCUGGAGAGGAGGCUGAGAGAUAUACACAGUAACAGAAAAGAUGGAUCAGCUUGCCAUGUUUUUGGGCACACACAUUUCUGUUGGGAUUCUGUUGUCGAUGGGAUCAGGUACUGAUCCGUCCAUUGUAAGAUCAAGAUGCAAAAUGCUUAUCCUAACUCUUACAAUAUAAAUCCCCUCCAAUGUAGGUACGUACAAGCUCCUUUGGCAUACCCCCGAGAAAGAAAACGGAGAAUGAACGGCGAAGGCUGGCUACCAUUUUGUGUAUACCGUGAUGGCUUCAACCCUGAAAUAUAUCCAGCCUUGUGGUCGGACUACUACAACAAGAACAAGAGGGAGCCCGAGAACACACAGCUCGCGCCGUGGGUUGCCAGGCAUUUUGCAAAGUACCAUAAGUUCCACUGACCCCUACUAGAGUUCAUGUUUUGCCAAACUGGAUGCAGUCCGUCCCAUCAGGACGGUGUUGGAGCCUGCAUUUACCUGGAGGAAAACGAGAGAUUGACGUUUUACCUGUACAUGAAUUUUUUUUAUUUUUUUGUUCCCACUCUUACCAUAGACUUGUGGCCAAGGAAGCGCCUGCCUGUGUUGGAUGUAUGUUGAAAAAUCAGAAUAAUGUGUAUAAGAUUCUUCAAAGCCUUGCUGCAAAGAUAGUGACAUAUAGCUUAUUCUGUUUAUCUAACCAGCCUCAUUUUACUCUCCAGUCAUGAAGUUGUAACCUGCGAAAUCACUGAGAAAUCUGCUUUAAUCCCCCGAUUCUGGUAUGUUGGGCUUGCAUUUUUUUGAAUCCGAUUUUCUGUUUGAGGGCUUGUGUGAAUGGGAUUUCCUGGUAAAACUUGUCUCAUUCAGACUGUCUGAAUGAAGGGGACUUCCGUCUUACUCCUAACUCAGAUGUAUGUCUUUAUCAAAAAAAAAAAAAACUCAGAUGUAUGUUGAUUCAGACUGUUUGAGGGCAUGUGGCCUCUCCUAACUUCGUUCAGAGUUCAGACAUCCCUUGCUCGGUUUCUCCCCUUUGCUUGCUGUCACCCACACUCCAAUUCUUCCCCAACUCAUCCCCAGCCGACGCCAGCAGUAGGCCUGCUAAUGGGAGGUCUGGUCAAACCCACUCUUGUUCCGUCGCUGGGGAAGAAUUGGAACUGCUUCGGUGUAGUGCUGGUAUGAUCGCAUCCGACAUACUAGCCACUCUCCUUGCUCUUAUGCCCGCCCCUCGACGCGCCGCCUGAGCCGCGUGGGCCCCGCAUCCAAGGUCCUCCGUGCGGGUCGCCUCACCGUUUUAUCCAUGAGCGCAUGAAGAAAAGCCUGAAAAUGUUCGGGGAAUGUAGCUGCGACAAAAUAGCCGCGUGUCGCCUUCUAGUGCGCUGUUGGGGCGGCGCGGCAUGGCGGCGUCCCCGCCGGUGAGCAUCCGGAUUAGGAUUUCGGGUUUUGGGGGUUCGGGGUUGCUGAGGGGAGGUUCAUGGCUGGCGGCCUUAGAAAAGGGGGAGGGGCAGGGAGGUCUGGCGGCGGAGGCGGGUUGCGGGGCAACGUAGCGCGGCGGCAGGGACAUCGCCAGCCGGGGGCGGCAGGUGGACAAGCGGUGGGCUAGGGACUGGGCGGGAGCAUGCCUGUAGCUUGUCGGAGAUGGUGGAGGAGACGGGGAAGGUCGCCAGGUUAGCGCGGCGGCAGGUCGUGGGUGGGGUGGCAAGACGGUGGGGUGCCGCCGGCCGCUGGUGAUGGAGUUGGCGGGGGUGUCGCGGCCAGCAUCUAGGCGGAGUUGGGUUAUGACGGCAGUGGAUCGUGGAGGCGAAUCCGGGGGCGGGAGCCGCUGGAGAUGAGGUUGAAGGGCGGCGCGGGGGAAAAGGCAGCUCUGCUGAGCCGUAGACGAGGGUUAUUGGUCUUCGGCAACAUCCAGCUGCACCCUCUUGUUCACAUCCAAAUCUAAAUAAUUAUUAUCCACUCUCACCCUCCCCAAGCUCACCCUCCCAAGCUCACCCAUAUUCAAUGGGUAAUUAACUAUGGAUAAUUAACUUUGUACUACAUUUAUAUACAUAUCCAAUUGAUUAAUUGUACAUAUAAUUUUCUACCCAUACCACAUUUAUAUACAUAUCCAAUAGAUUAAUUACCAUAUUUAUAUAGUACAUAUCCAAUAGAUUAAUUGUGAUAUUAAUUACCACAUUUAUAUACAUAUCCGAUAUAACCUCCGCUCCCCCAUUCGGACCGCCCUUUGCUCCCCAUUCGGACCGCAUGGCGUGGAUAAACCAUGGGUUUUAGCCGGCUCCUCUGUCUGGGUACACCGUUGCUUAUUAGCUUCUCCUAACCCAUUGGUGAUCUUGCUACAAGGUUACACUUAAACACAUAGUCAGUCGGUCAAAAACAAAAAAAGGAAGAUGGAACGGGCAAUCUAGAGAAGCUUACGACAAGGUACUCCUAGGAGAGCAUACUUCGAUGCCAGAGCCCAGAAGCAUCCAGCAGAUAAUCAGACAGUCACACAGAUAUACAAGUAGUGUUGCUCCUUUUACCUCGGAUUUUAUUACACGCUUGCUACUCACACCGUGCAAUGUACACCGCCUGAUUCACCGUCUCCAAACACGGGGGCAAUCAACAGGGUACGUAGCGUACGGGCCCCUUAUUAACUGGUUCACACGACACACAAAAUAUAAUGCAAACACACACGCACACACUGUCCCGACACAUGCACAACAAACACAAGACCCGAUCGGACUAAGGAAGGAGACGCCACCGCGGCGGCCGGCGGCUAGCUAGUAGUCCUCCGGCGCGAGCGGCUGGUGCGCGUGCGGCGCGGCGGCGUCGGCGGACGGGAUGACGAGGUACUCGUACACGAGCCCGGCGACCCCAGCGCCGAGGAAGGGCCCCAGCCAGUACACCCAGUGGUGCCUCCACCGCCACCCGACGAGGGCCGGCCCGAACACCCUCGCCGGGUUCAUCCCGGCGCCGUCGAACGGCCCGCCCGCCAGCACGUUGGCCCCCAGCAGGAACCCCACGGCGAGCGGCCCGAUGGUCCCCACGCUGCCCCGCUUCGGGUCGAUUACGGUGGCGUAGUAGGCGUACAUGAGGCCGAACGUCAUGGCGGCCUCGAGUAGCACGGCGUGCCAGUCGCCGACCCCCGACGCCAGCGCGAACCCCGGCGGGCGCAUCCCGCCCGUGGCCAGCCUCAGGAGCAGCGACGCGGCGAUGGCGCCCAGCAGCUGCGCCACCCAGUAGAAGACGGCCCGGACGAGGGAGAUGCGGCCGCCGAUGAGCGCGCCGAAGGUGAUGGCAGGGUUCACGUGCCCGCCCGAGAUGUUGACGGCCACGGCCACGGCCACCGACAGGGCCAGCGCGUGCGCCAGCGCCACCGCCACCAACCCGCCCGCCGUGCUCAUGUCGUGGUACAUCUUCCCUGCAUGCACGGGCACCGCAUGUAUAUAUGUGCAUAUAAUGGAUCAUCACUUGUCAAUGAGACCAUGCAUACGUACCGAGGGAGAGGACGGAGCCCUCGGCGGCGAAGACGAAGAUGGCGGUGGCGAGGAACUCGGAGAUGGCGGCGCGGAUGGUGUCCGGGUGCGUCGCGUCCUCGCUCCGCCCCACCGUGAACCGCCGCCCCGGCCGCGCGCCCGUGCUCAUCUCGGCGCCGAUCCAAAGCUACCUGCUAGCUUGCAGCUGGUUGCUACCUCGAUUACCUCUCCUUCGUCUCUGCUGUGCUUCUCUCUGUCACUCGCCGAGACCAAGUGUGUGCUAGCUGUUGCCGACUCGCCGCGGUAGCAAGCGUUAAGAGGCGAGCGCCCGGUCAGGAGGUGCGGCGACGGCCGGCGCGCGUGGCUUAUAACGUGGCCAGGCCGUGCGCGCGGCCGCGCCACGUGGAGGCGCCGCGGGCCAGCUGGGCGGCACGUCUCGGGGGGCGACCGUCCAUGCGUGCCUCACGAGCUCGGAGCUCUCGUGCUGAUCCGUAACCGUGGGGCCCGCGCGCCAGGUCACGGGCACAUCACGGCGAGUAGGUGUGCGUUUUCCCCACGGAUGCGUACGCGCUGCCCUCUAUCCGUUCGCCAUGGCGAUUGCUCGUGUCGCCAUGCCGCCACUUCGUUCCAGAGGCUCUCGUGGUCGAUGCAUGAAGCAAGUAUUGUUCACUGUUCAGUGCCAUGAUGGGAUGAUGCUAGCUAGUCUAUUUCUGCAUGCUGAAGCUGUGUGUAUGGCCGUGCCUUGAAGUGCACUUAUUGUUCGAUCGGUUGGUUGAUGCAGUGCAUUCACGCUUAGAGUUCGGAUUUAAAACUUUUUUAAACGAAGUUAUAUCAAAAAGAAGAUAAAGUUAAAGGGGUGUUUGGAUACGAGGUGUUAAACUUUAACAGUGUCACAUCGAAUGUUCGGAUGCUAAUUAGGAGAACUAAAUAUGAGCUAAUUAUAAAACUAAUUGCAGAACCCUAUUCUAAUUCGCGAGACGAAUCUAUUAAGCCUAAUUAAUCCAUCAUUAGCAAAUGGUUACUAUAGCACCACAUUGUCAAAUCAUGUAUUAAUUAGGCUUAAUAGAUUCGUCUCGCGAAUUACACUCCAUCUGUGCAAUUAGUUUUGUAAUUAGCCUAUGUUUAAUACUUCUAAUUAGUAUUCAAAUAUCCGAUGUGAGGGGUGUUAAACUUUAACACUAGUGAGCCAAACAGGCCCUGACUGGACGAGAUAAACACGAAUAUUGGUAGGUUGGAUUGGAUCAUCUACACAUGCCGCACCACGCCAUCGCAGUUAACUCAACUUAACAACACAUCAGCCGGUUGGAUUGGGACAUCAACACGUGCCGAACUCAACACAUCUCAAGCGGAUUUAACUCCGCCCGCCAAACGGCAGCAGAGCCGAAGCCUUUCCGUGGCACCCACCAACAUUCCCGUUCAUAUAGUCGCUGAAACCUCCAUGCCAGAUUGAAAGGAGUCGGUGCUCGUAGCCUAAGAGGGGGAGGGGGUGAAUUAGGCAACUUAAAAACCUUAACCUAUGGCUUCUACUAGUUGCAUCAAAAUAUAAACUAGAUCAUGCUAUCUAGAUGUGCAAUCUAUGGUUGAUCUAGUGUGAAAUCCUCAUCCUAAAAUAAGUUUUGCAAUCUAUAGCCAAUCCUAUCAAGAUACUACUCUAGAAAAGUAAAGGCACGCAAGUUGCAAGAAGAAAUGCGGAAAUGUAAGAAGGGGAUGAAGGGAAGCAAACUCUUGACACAAGAAUUUAUCCCGUGGUAUCGGUAGGCACUAAGCCACCACUAGUCCACGUUGUUGAAGCACUCAUACAAGAGUAUUGCUUCCUGGUCACCAAGUCUCUCCCAAGGUGCCCCUUGACUUGCCACAAAGGCUCGGUCACUAAGUGUCAGUGCGAAAUCUGGCCGACAAGUAAAUAUUUGUAGUUUUACUGUGCAUUAGAUCGGAUAUGGCUUAGCACACAAUGACACAGGAUGUAUACUGGUUCGGGCAACACGCCCUACGUCCAGUCGGGGUCCGUCGAUCGACUUUAUUCUUGAGCUCAGGUGCUCAAAGUUUGCGGUAGGGGUACAAACGAGAGGAGUAUGAGAGGGGGGUGCCUGAGUCCUGGCCUUGUUCUCGUCUCAGUGGAAGAGAGUGGCAGGAGCUCAGAAGUGCGCUAAGUGUGUGAGAGUGUGAAAGUGUAAGAGUGCAUGUGUGAACGUCCGAGUGCCCAGAAGUGGAGGGUCCGUCCCUUUUUAUAGUAAAGGGAACAACCUUACAAGUCGGAGAAGAUAAGAUAGUGAGUGUACAGGUGCUGCCUAGUCUUGUUGAAGCCCACGUCGCCUGGUGCGGUAUGACCUCCGUCCUCGGUCCCUGUUCUCCUCGUCAGGCCACUCCGUCGUAGCGAGUAGGUUUACGGUGGCACUGUGCAAGACGUGUGCAGGGCGUGCCGCGGUACGGUUUUGCAUACGGUCGGCUGACUUGAGCGCUUCCUCGUUUUCCAUCCCACCUGCUCCCUGAGCCCACACCAGGCGGGCAUCCCCGAUCGGUUGUCCCAGUCGGCCUCGAUCGAGUCGCUCAGGGGGAGCGGUACGGGCGGUACGCUGCAUCCCCAUUCGGGAGGACUUGGUCGGGAGGAGUUGGUCGGGAGAAUUCAGUUGGGGUCGGACAGUGGCUUCACCCCCGAUGGCUCCUUCUGGUCGGGGUGCCGACUAGGCUUCCUGGUCGGAGGAGUCGGCCGGUGGCCAGAUCGGGGCCUCGGCCUGGCUACGCGUAGCCGGCCCGGCCCAGGUGUACGUUAUUGCGGUGCCCUUUGUUGGGCCAAGUGUUGUGGGAAGGUUAUCCCGUUGGGGACCCCGGGUCUAUGGACCCGUCAGGAGCCCCUGAGCCCCUUUUGGGCUUUGUUGAAGCCAUGAAGGGGCUUUCGGUCAGAAUGUCCUGUUAGGGAGAAACACACGGGGGUGUUGUUUGUCUUUGUCUUGUUUGCAAAGUGGGCAAGCCACAUUGUGGGCCCAGCCUCAUAUCCAAGAUGAUAAGGACGAGCUCCCGCGUGGGGAUCGUACCGUUGCCUCAUGGCCCGGUACCUUCACCUCGAUUUCCUGCGCCUUUUAUUGCAUGGUAGUCGAACCAUCGCCUCAAAGCCAGGCAUCUUUAGUGCGCGGUUGCUGAACCGUCACUUUGAUGCCAGGCACUUUUGUCAUGCGUCCAUGAACGCGCAUCGUAACUGUUCCCGGACGGUAACCGGCCGCUCGGUUAUAAAUAGGAGGGGUUCCACAUCUAGAGUCCCCAUGGCUCGGGUUGUAGAUCCAGUAGGUUUGAGACUUUUUCUCUUCGCCAUAGGUGGCUUUGGCCACUCCUCAUGAUGCUAGAAGAUCUCUUGUAAUAGGUGUUUCUCCUCCCUAUCGCAGCCUCCUCCAGCAUGUUCGGGUGCCAUGAUGCGAGAGGAAAUCUCGUAACGUGGAUCCGUUGUGCAAUGAGAGGUUGGAUGAGAGGACGAGGGCACCGCCUCAGGAGGAAGGGGAAGCAUGGCCUCCUUGUCCUCCAUGCCGUGCUCGUACCCUAGGCCGUCGAUCUCUAGAGGUCAUCAUCUUGACCUGUUGUGUGCACGGCGGCAAUAUGUAGGUGUCAGUAGCUGCGCGCGGCUCCGAGCCAGUUUACCCAGGUGUCCAGCACACGGUUCUCGCACUCCCUCUAUGCCUUUUCUUCUUUAUCCUGGUCACCACAGAGGGAGGAGAGAACUUUGCAGCUGAGCUGCUUCUGUUCUUUUACCUUCUUCGGCCCUCGGCGUCCCUCCCUUGGAAGAAGGAGAUUGAAGAAGAAUCGGCGAGGACGGGUCGACGAGAGAGGUUUCGAGCGUAGCUUUGUUGCAUUGCAUGCGCUCUUUUUGUUUCGUUUGGUCCCGUGUCAUAGGGUAGUCCCUGGGUUGUACUCACACGCUUUGCGUGAUAUUGUAAGGCCUUCGGGCUCCCAUGUUUGCACGCUUUGUGUGAUAUUAUAAAGCCUUUGGGCUCUCGUGUUCGCACGCUUUGCAUGAUAUUGUAAAGCCUUUGAGCUCCUAUGUUCGUACACUUUACAUGAUAUUGUAAAGCCUUUGGGCUCCUAUUUUUAGCUUAAUGAAAGCUUAUAUUCGACAUGUGAUUCUUGUGCCCAUCGCGCUAUUGAGGCAGAUUGUUGUCGGGGCUUUUGACACUUUUCCCUUUGUGUGUCGCAUUGCGUAGGGCAGAUGAGUAGGUUCAGGCGUUGUAGCCCCUGAGUAGGUAAAGGCGCCCAGCUCUCGAGGGGAUGAUUGGCAGAGGCUGCAGGGGCGCGUCAGAUAGAUACUGACGCCUAACUCUCAAGGAGAUAACUGGCGUGGGCCCCAGGGGCGCGCCGAGUUGCAGAGGGUGCCCACCUCCCGAGGAGGGGACUUGCUUGUUGUCCACCUUCCGCCGGGUUCGCACGAGUGAGCCCGGUGGGUCUAGCCCCCGAGCCUAUGGCCGACUAAGGAGUCAGUCGGAGGUUGAGCACUUUGGUACCCCCUUGACCAGAAGCGAGUUGAGUGGACACUAGCGCCCUUCUCCUGAGGAGGGGAUCUGUUGCCAGUCCGGCUUCCACCGGGUACGCAUGAGCGCACCCGGUGGUCGUAGCCCCUGAGCCUGAGGCCAACUGGAGAGUCGGUGGAAGGCUGAGCACUUAGGUACUCUUUUCUGGUGCCGCAGACUUUGGUGUCCCUGUCGGUCGGGAUGAUGUGGUCCUUCUUGAAAGUUGGGGUGUCUGCCUGUGUUCAUUCCGACCGCAACUUGUGUCGUCGGUCGUAUUCCCUAGUCGGGAUAUGGCGGCCCGAGCCCCCGAGGCCUGUUGGGCUCGAUCGGCGUCGGUCGAGUUUCAUGCAUCACUUCAUCUGCAGUCUCUGUGAUCGAAGGGGUUGAGCUAACAUCGCUUGCCUCGAUGGCCUGAGUGAUGUGCUCGGUGAGCUCGCCAACGGGCAUGUCCGAGUGCAAUCCGGGUUUGUCAUUCGUAGCGGGGUCGGCCUCGUGUGGCAUUCCAUUGCUCCUUAACCCGCCUCCUGGCAGAUGCCCGAGCCGUUCCGGAGACUGACUCAGGUGGCCUGCUGGUCUCCCCUCGAUGGAGAUUCAGUGGGCAUGGCUCGAGGUCAGGAUCAAAUGAGAAGGUUAAGAUGAUCCUGUCUGCUUGUGAGCGAGUCAGGAGAAGGCCAUUUGGGCUUCAUCUGCAUUUUCCUCCUGACUCUAUUUGAUGUGAGGCGGCCUCAAGCCCUUCGCGAGCCAGCCUUUGAACCCUGGUCGGUCGCAGCUCAUAUUGAAUGAACCGCUAUUGCUUUGUGACGCGACGCAAAGCAAUUGGAUUGCAAUGAUUACAUGUAUGAGAUGAAUGUAUGAUGCAUGAAUGAAUGCAUGCAUGCAUGAGAUGGAUGAAUGAAUGAGUGCUUGUUUAUAGAGCAAGUAAACGGGGGGUCGGUGAUGUUACCUUGGUUGAACUUUUAGGCGUCACCCUAUCCGCAGUUUCUGCAACCGAAGGGGCUAAGCUAGCAUUGCUUAUCUCGACGGUUCAAGUGACAGGUUCAAGGCACCCUUAGUGGAUAGGCUCGAGUGGAAUCCAUAUCUGUCGUUCGUGACGGGGUCGUCAUGUCCUACAUGUUGGAUUUCCACUUUUUUUACCUGUCUCUCGUUGGAUGCCUAAACCGUACGAUCGACCCGAGUGGCCCGCUAGCCUCGGUUCGAUGGAGGCUCUAACGGUGGGUCCCUUCACUCCGUCUAACCGACUCGACUGCCUACUGGCCUCGGUUCGAUGGAGGCUCUGAUGGUGGGUCCCUCCGCUCCUGUGCCUCAAAAGGCGAAGGGGCGCUUGCGUGCGGUCGUGCCUUGUUUUUCACGGUUUCGUUGCAGAAGUAGGUGGGCCCCUCUCGGGCCACGCCCUGUCGCGUAGGGUCGCGUUCCGUCAGUUGCCUCCUUUCUGUCAGGGCUCCGCGACCCCUUCCCUAUUAAAUAGGGGGAAAGGCGGAUGUUGCACGAUUUUGAACUAGAGGCCGACCAUCGUGAAGGAGAAUUUGCUCAAGGUUUGUGUGAGAAGGCUGUUGCUGCCGCCGAAUGCAGUUGCAGGUUGGAGAGCACUAGAGGUUGGGACCGUCGUCCCGCGACCUGAGCUCGACGAAGUCAUCUCCUUCCUUGCUUUCCAUGAGCGCAGGCUUGGAUACCCCGCGCAUUGGUUCCUGCACGGGCUCCUUCACCGCUGGGGUUUGGAGUUGCAGCACCUCAACCCCAACGGGAUGCUGCAUAUUGCCGGCUUCGUCACCGUCUGCUAGGCCUUCCUCGGGAUGGAGUCGCACGUGGACCUCUUCGUGAAGUUCUUCUCUGGGCGAGUCUGUUCCGAGGAAAGGGGGAAGGCGAGCCUGCCAGCCCCGAUCGGAGGGUUCGCGCUACAGAGGAAGCCCAAGGUCGCCUAUCCACCGUACACCCCCAAUGAUUCUAAUUGGGGAUGGCACAACAAGUGGUUCUACAUCCGAAACCCGACGGAGGCGCCGUUCCCGAAGUUCACCGGAGGGAGGCCGACGAGACAGGAGAGCUGGGUGUGGGGACCCACUUCGAAGCAGAAGAAACACAUGGAGGUCCUUGAGCUAGUGCUGCGGCAACGUGUGGAGGAGGGCCUCAAUGGGUUACGGAACUUCGACACCUUCAUCCAUUGGUGGAUUGCUACGCUUGGGCAGAGGACAUGGCCAAUGUAGAAGUAUUCUGAUCCGUCGGAUCCCGAUCACGUGUCGUCAGUGGAGUUGCCGAAGAACGAGAUCGAGGCGCACCUCGAUCAAGUUGUUUAGUUGGGAGGUGACGUGACCCUCAGUGGGACGCCGGAGCCCUUCCAAACUUGAAGGCGUCCCGACUUGGUAUGUCUCUUUCCUCACGUCAUGCUUCUUCCUCAUCCAGACCUUCCGACCGAUUUUGAGCCAUUCACCUCGCAGGGGCUUGAGCGCUACAAGUCCCGACCGAUCCUCCUGAAGGGGUCGGAGGGCGCGGCCUAUCAGGCUACCCAGAAGACAGCAGCGGACGAGAGGAAGAAGAAGAAGGUUGUGAAGGCCCAGAGGCGGGAGGCGAGGCAGCAAGAAAUCAGCUAGCGGAUUCAUGGUGGCGGUUUCCUGUCAGCUGUAGGGGUGGAGCUUGAGUCUUCCGACCCCUCAGGGUCGGGAGGUGAUUCAAACUCUUCAGGGCUUGAGAUGAGCGGGGGUGCCAUCGUGUUCUCGACUGGGCACCGUGAGCUCGCUGCCGCGCCUUCUGGCGGAGCGUGUGGUAUGGGGGGACCUUCCGAUGCCCCCGAGUGAAGGAAGCGCGCCGUAGGCGGGGAUGUUGCCCACGAGCGGGAGGCGAAGCGGGUGCGGUCGCCGCCACACCAUUUGGUGAUGCCGCUGUAACAACUCUACCUUAAUUAGGUGUAGUUAAACUUAAGAAAGUCAUUAGACACUAGGUAGAGGUAGUGAAAGGUCCAAAAAUCCCCUAAAAAGCUCAUUUUGGAGUUAACUAGGAAACUUAAGAUUUUAUAUACAAACUGGAAUUUUUGCCCAAAUAGGAGUUCUAAAUCUUUUAAUUUUGAACAACUUUUGUUAAUAACACUUUGGCUAAUUUGGAGUGGGAGAAGGUCAAAAACAAGAAUCAAUUUAGGAGUACAUCAAAAUUCUGAAAAUAACCUAAGUGCUAGAAUUCAUAUUUUUCCUGAAAUUUGCAACAUGUUAUCUCACAAUUCUAUAUCUAAACCCGAGUCAGACCCCAAAUAGAAGUUGUAGUGCUGGAAGUGUGUUACAACUUUGAUUAAAAGAGUUAGGCCAAAAUAUGCACAAAAUGUUAUCAAAAAUGCAAUCAAACAUAGCCAAAUCAGUCAAACCAGCACAAAUGCAUUUCUGCGCUAAGUCUGGAAGAACACCCAGAGCGUGCACGUUGGCAAGCCCGUUCCCCCUAAAAGUUGAACUGAACCUGAGAAAGGUCCUUACUAGGAGAUGGAGUCCUAAGAUCAAAGAACAAUUCCUUCAAUUACAUCUUGGCAUGAUUCAAAUUGGAAGCCACUGAAAAACUUAGCCAAAGUUGGCCAAAAUGCUGAAACACAGUGAUGCCAAAAGUCCCAGGAGGCCGGCCGCCGCAAGGACCUCUCUGCGUCUCCCAUCUUUUUCCUGGGGACUUAGCGUAAGAACUAGGGACCCCUACACGAUUAAACCUUAGACGCGAGGGUUAGCUCGUAAGUUUGCCUGGAUUUAUUGUUUAAAUUGGUAGAAAUUAGAUUAAACUUUGUAAAUGCACCAUAAAUCGUAGAAUAAUCAGAAAAAAGCCAAAUAAAUUUUGUUGGACUCAGUGAACUGUCUAGUUUCUUAUAAAAAUAAUUUGCCCUUGUUACUGUUGAAAAUAAUACCCUAUAGUUUUAUUUCUUACCUAGGCCUUUGAAAUCAUAGUAAAUCGAAUAAAAAUGCUAAAAAGAUAAAUCCAACUCUGUGGUGUAUGUUUCUGAGUAUGGUAGCUUUGAAAAAUAGUUAAGACCCUGGAGUUGAACUUUAAAUCAAUGUUUUAGGUUUAUAUUUGAAAUCUAAGGCUAAAUCUUUCGGGUUGCAUAAGUAAUGGAAGCUAUCAGAGAAAAAUGUGAAACUUUUUGGAAUAGGUCAGUUGUGAAGUGUAGUUUGUAGAUAAAAUAUAGAACCUGGUCAAAAACAGAAAGAAACUCACUUUUCUUUUUAGAGAAAGAGAAAUAGGCUUAAUAUAUGGGAAAUAGUUGUCCUUCACUAAAACUCAUGAAAAAUUCACCUAAGUCUCUACAAUGCACCUUAAAUCCACUGAUUAAGUUUCACCCUCAGAAUCACUAUAGGUUUUGAGAUAAAAAUGGUUAAGUACACGCUACCUUUGGUUAAUAAAAUAAUUUUAUUUCUUUUUUACUAGUCCAAUGGAUCCUAAAUUUUUACAGUAACUCAUUGAUGACAUAAGUAAGGUGCUGUAAAUUUAUCAGUGUCAUAUGUUACUGUCUGGUUGUGGAAACGAAUUUUGGAAGAUGAACCGCUUUAAAGAAAUAAAGAAAUAUAAAUCCUAGUAAACUUAACUGGUAAUUUUUGGACGAGGUACAAAAAACAUUCAGAAAUAAAUGACUUUCGAAAGAACCCCAAAUGAUCCUAAAAGCGACCCGCACCUUCCUUGUGAAGUCUAAGUUGUGAAAUCUUAUAUAUGUACACAAUCACCAUCAAAGUCAACCCCGAGUUUUAAACCACAACACAUCUCAGCAAAUGCGGUCGAAAUGCACUUUUAUCUUAGCAAUAAGUCAUAUCUUACAUCCUUCAUACAAAAGCAUGGAAAUUUUAAACUUUCUGCAUAUGCAUGUCGUGUAGAAGCUAAUAUCGCCGACGGAACCUACAAGCUCCACCCUACGCCGAAAGAGGAACCCGCCGCAGAACUACAUCACGCGGAAGUUGAGCCUGAGCUAGAUCAAGACCCCGAAGACCCGCUAACUUUUUCUGAACCUGAAGUCAAGCCCCGGUGCAUGCUUCCCUGUUUUAAAUUUAUGCAAUAUGUUGAUACUUAUGAUUGUGCAUUUAUGUUUGUAGGAGUUGAUUGAAACCGUAGAUGCAUGAACUUAGUACCUUUGAUCCGAACACUAGCUGCUAAGGUCGAGUAGUUGCUGUGCUAAAUAGGACUCGGUAAAAGUCGAGUGAUUGCGUGUCACUCGCGAGUUAUAGGAGUUGUUUGUUUACUCAUACUACAACUACAAGGAUGACGGACGGGACCGGGAAUGGUUCCAAUGUGGUGGUUUGCCCCGUCUGUGUAGUAAUGAAGUUGCUAAGGUCAAAACGUGUCGGCGUUCGUGAUUAAGUGUUUGAAAGUACUAAUCUCAUACCUAGUAUGGGAUGGGGAAGCCUAGUACCUAAUUGAACUGGGGCGUGGCUUAUACUCCUGCUGUCCCUGGAACGAGGUUCCCAUGGUGCAUCAUGUGGGUGCAAGUGCGGUCACAAUACGGUAGAAGCUGGGACUGUGGAGCAUUGCAUGCCAAGGGAAGUUUGGCCCUGACACGUGCCUAGGGAUCGAUGGGGAUGGCUGACAAGUGAAGCGACCCUUCGUGGGAUUAGGUUCGCCAUGCAUGGUUAAUAAAUUCGAAUCGAUUCGUCUGCCUCUCACAGUUUAGAACUGCUUGAUCGCUAUUCCGCACUGAGUAAAGAUGGAACAUGAUGAUGAUAUUAAUCUUGAUACUUAUCCUUUAAUUGUUUGGAAACAAUGCUUGCUUAGUAUCAGCCUAAUCUAGACUGGUUAAUGACCUUAGAACUUGGGCUAAAAUAUUGAAAGGAAGGACCAACUUUAGAUGCUUUUGGCAAAAACAAACCCACGGCCAAAAAGCCUUGCACGUCUAGGAGUCGGUGAAGUAGUUAUCACCUGUCGGGUCAGUCUUGCUGAGUAUUAGUUGCUCAGCCUUGCAUGUGGCUAUGUUUUCAGGUAGUGCUGAGUUCGAGGAAAUGGUUGCCAGUUUGACUUGGCCGACCCAACUCCCUCCGAGUUGGUCGGUUGAGUGGAAACCAACCUCACACGGCAUGGAUCGUUGAAAUGGAUAUCAUGGUCGGCUUUGCCAUGGUAUUAUGUAUUGUCGUGUAGCUUCCACUUGUUUUACUUCUUUGUUGUUUACAACCUUGCAAACUUUGCUUGAAUUUUUGUAAACUCUGAUGUAAUAAAUUGUUGAACUAUGUUAAUAUGAUGGGAAUGUUGUAAUCUCUGUGGCAUUCACCUUCGUGUGAGUAAUGCUUCUCAAUCAUGAGUAAGUGGUUUAUCGGAUGAAAUCCGACGGACGACAAAGUUGACUUGCUUAAAGUGCAUGAUCGUGUGUCACGCAAUGUAAGUGCAUUUUAGUCAGGUUAAUUUGGGGCGGUUCCGCCACAGCCACCGGCGUCGUAGCCCCCGAUAGCGAGCACGAUGGUGCGCGACGGUCGGCUAGAGGGACGCGGUCAUACGCCUGCGGCCCAACAGUCGGUGGACACACCUGGUCCUCGGCAAAGGGAUGCUCCACCGGUUGCUCCGGCGGAUCUGCCACGGGUCGGUGGCCACAGCCGUCCACUGACCGACCGUGGUUCGGUCGGGUGCCUCUACCCUCGAUCGUCUUGGAGCAGUUCGGGCGGCAGCCCUCGAGUGAUUCUUGUUCAAUGGACUUCCUGGUUCCUCCGGUCAUGUACGUGAUUUUAGCCUUUCUCGCCCGUGUGAACGCGUUUUUCGGCAUGAAUAAUCCGUUCCCGUUUCUUCUUUUUUGCAGCAAUCCGUCGUCAGCUCCUCUGGUCAUCGCGCCACCUCCCAAACACAUGGAGUGGAUGCCCAACCUGCAUCGGGUCGUGCAAGCGAUGGGAGGAGUAGACUGGAGUCGGCCCAUCCCAUGUUGAUGGGGCUCAUUCCUGCCCCGUUGGUUGCGACUGCGCUGGUGGUUGCAACGACGGUGACCCCUGCGGUGAUGGCGAAUCCUGCGAUGGCGGUAACCGUGGCACUCCCUCCACUAUCGGUCGCGGAGGAGGUGAAGCAGGAACCCGUGCUCUCCGUUUCACCCGGAGGAGGGGCGCACACCCUCAGCUCGCCCUCCUAGUUGGAUUUGGAGGGGAGCGGAGAACCCAGGGUCGAGGCCGCCGAUGAAGCAGCGGAGGUUCACAUGUCCCCCGAGCUGGCCUAGGCCCAUGCUUGGGUGAGUACCCUCCCGAGCCCACCUGGCGUGUUGGAGGCGACUGGAAUGGAGGAAGAGCCGUUGUUGGCAGGCCGCGACAUCUCGGUGGUGGUCCUUCCUUCUGAUGGAGGGGAGGUCACCAGGGUGGCGAAUUCGAGCGUCCCGCUGUCUCAAGAGCGAUGAUGAUCCUGGCAUCACUAGGCACCAUGGCGGUCAGGUUUUCAAGCGGGUCGGAGGCGGCUGACGACCUGGUGUGGCCUCAGCUGGGCGAGCCGGGGAAGGCCCGUUUCAUGCUCCACGAUGGGAGGGAGCGGGUACUCUGGGACCUUCUUGCGAGCGGCGGGCUAUCGGUGCGGUCAGGCCUCACCUCCGUCGUGGCGAAGUUGAAGGAGGCCUUGGAGGAACCUGACCUUACCAAUCGGGCCAUGUCCAUCGACCUGUCGCAUAUCGGAGAGGUAAGCCUUCUGCAAUCCUAACUUCGUCCCUGAUCUUUUGUUAUUCAGCCUGUUGCCUUAGUGCGCCUACCCUUAUCUUGCAGAGCCUGGAGAUGAUAUUGGCCAGUAAGUCCUAGUUCUUCCGGGAGGAGCAUGGUCAUUAGGAAUGGGACGCAGCGGCAUUGCGGCAGGUCGGUGAUCUUGCUCGCGAGCUGGAGACUGCCCAUCGCGAGUCCGAGGACCAAGUGGCACGUGCGGCCGCUGUGGAGGAGCAUGAGAUUGCUACCGAGCGGGAGCUUGCCGCGACGGAGUCUCGCCUGGCAGAGGCCGUGGUAGAGGCUCGAGAGCGCCAGGAGGUGGAGCGUCGGGCGGCCGAGUGGGCGACUGCCACUGAGCAGGCACUCGCCAUGGCGUAGGAGGCCCUGGGGGCAGAGCGAGCAGCUUGAGCGCAUGCCGAGCAGGAGGCUGCUCAGCUACAAGGGAGGGUGACCCAGCUGGAAGAGGGGCAUACCCUCCUUGAGAGCGCGAGUCAAGAUCUGGGUGAGAGGAAUGCCCUUUUGCGUCAAAAGCUGUAGUGGUCGCAGGAGGGGCGCGUCACGGUCGUCGCUGCGAUGGAGAGUAAGUCCCACCAUCUCGAGAGUUUGAGCCGGGGUCAUACCCAUUUUUUUCCUUCCGCUGACUUGGUCUCUUGUGUAGUCUUGGAGAGGGAGUUGAGGACGACCUAGGCGACAGUCAAUUGGAACACGGAGGCGUUGGCUCGGUCUCUGGAAGAACGGUCCUCCCUCACGGAUGAGCUCAACCAACUCCGCGACAUAGCGCAGGUGGUGGUCACUGAGGUGCUCGGGUCAGGCCCGAGUACCAGUAGGCCCGCCGUCCAACUUGCGGAGGUCUCGGACAUGGUCCAAACGCUUAUCUCUGACGGUGUGUUCCACGGGGCGUUGAGGGUGCUUAUGUCGGUGGUGACCCACUACCUCGACCUGGACUUCAAGGCAAUCUGCAGAGGGUAAGCUGGCAGAAGGAGCUUCGAGGAGAUCUGGGCACUAGGUCGGAGCUUGGCCCCGGGCGCGCGAACGAUCUCCGCGCACGUGACCGCGACGUGGGUCAUGGAGGCUCACCGCUCGUGGAUGUGACGGCCUCGGACAAAAAUCUCUCCAGUUAAUCUUAAUCCGCGUCCUUGAUCCCUAUCUCACCCUUUCCGAGUUUAAGUACUCAACCUCCAAUCCGGUCCCGACCCCUGAGACCCGACCCCUCUCCGCUGGCCUCCAGUUCCGACCCCGCCGACCCCAACUCACCCGCCGGAUUCUCCUAAGUCUUUCCCCAACACCUCCCUUCAAUCUGACCGAUGGACCCACGAGAUCUUUUCCCCCAGAUCUUUCGCGACAGGCGCACUCGAGUUGCAUGCCCGCUUCAGAGUUCCCCCGCCGCGUGGCUCAACUCCUCUGACGCCUGCCGCUCCGCCUCGUCUUCGGCCCGUGACCGAAUGGAUUCUCGCGCCCUCCUCCCCAAUCGCAGCGGAAGCCCCUCUGCAACCUUUCCGCAGCACCUCACCGCCCGCGCCCAUCAUCACAUCGCCAGAUCCCGGCCACAGAGCCCAAUGUCGCCCGUCUUUUCCGUCACCUCGCCACAGUCGCGCCGCCCGGUCUUCGCUACACGACGAUUCCUCCUCCGCCAACCCCGACCAUGGCAGCGAGAGCUACCUUUCCCGCUCUGUCAGAAGUCGCCUGACAAUCUGUUGCUCCGCGCUCGCCCGCGCGCCCGCAGCCGCCUGUCUUCUCACCUGUGCGCCCUCGACCCUAGCGCCGUUUUCCCGGUCACUUCCAUCAGCUCCACCGCACGACGACGCCCGCCUCCACCAAAUCUCAACCACCGGCAAACCCGCGCCUGCGCCGCCAUGACGCCAGUGCCCAAUGACCCUUCGGCGUCAUCCCCAAAGUCCUGCUCCACCGCCCUCGUCGCUCAAUCGCCGCCCGGGCAGAGCACUCCAUUGCUUCUUCCCCGGCCUUCGCGCCGCUCCCCCUUCUCACUCCCGCGCCGCUAUAAAAUGGAAUGCGCGAGCCCCGCUGGAGUUUCCCUUGCCCUAGCUGCCAUCUCUCUUGCUCUCUGUUCGAGCUCACAGCGUCACCACACUAAGUCCCUAAGGAACUCUCCUCUUCGCUCCACACCACUUUCCCCAAUCCACCCAGCCGCUUGCUCCUCCGUGCUGCGUAAGAGCUUACUUGUGAUCCACAAGAAGCGCCGCCGCCGUCGGAGCGCCGUCGGACAUCUCUGCUGCAAGUCUUAGUGUUCCAAUUCCUCCGCUCGAACCUGCUCCUUUCCGACCCCAAGCUUUCCUUGUAAGACAAAGGUAAGCUGCCAACCCCUUGUCCUCCUCGUCCGACCCUUCUGUUCAUCCGAACCCUUUUCCAUCUCGCCCGACCCCAUCUGUUCUGCCGACCCUUGUCCGCUUCACCUGACCCCUCUUAUCCGCCCGACCCCGGUUCCGUCUCGCCCGACCCUGUCCGUUCUGCCGACCCUUCUCCGCCUCGCCCGAGGACUCGGCUAUAUCUUUUUCUUCGAACCGAGGGUGUAUGUGUAAAACUUGGGGACUUUUCAGCGUUGAGUCUGCGGACCCCUAGCACAUCAAACCCUCUAGAUUAAGGGUCAGAUCCUAAGUUCCUUCCUCCGACCCUUACCUCUUGAUCUUCACCAAUUCCUUUGAACCUCCCCACCCUCCUGUAACUUGUCGCAAGUUUCUGGGCUCAGACUUGCAAGUGUUGCUGUUGAAUUAACCGUCUAAAUGCUAACUCUUGCAUUGCAUUUUGUGUAGAGCUGCGUCUCGCCGACGGCUGCUACGAGCUGCACCCGGCGCCAGAAGACGACGGUGUAGCCGAGCUCCUGCCCCCAGAAGCCGAAGCUGCCCCAGAAGUCGACCAGUUCUCUUCCUCUUUGCUCGAAGGCAAGCCCCGGAUGCAUGAAAACCCUAUGUUUUCCAAACUUGUGCAUGCCUUCUUUAACAUGCUUGUGCAUUUACGUAUAGGAGUUGUUUGGAACCAUAGAUGCAUGACUUAGUUUUCCCAUGAUCUGAACACUAGCUGUUGGACCGAGUAGCUGCUUUGCUUAAAUAGGAAGCGGUAAAAGUUGAGUGAUUUCCUAUCACUCGCGAGUUGUAGGAGUUGGUUGUCUUCCUCCUGUCACAACUGUAAGGACGAUGGACGGGGCAGGGUUUUGGGUAACUCUUUGGUGGUCGGUUGAUCGCCCCGUCUGUCUAUGAAACUUGCUAAGGCCCGACAGUGGUGGUGUUCGUGAUCAAGUGUUUGAAAGUACUAACCUCAUACUUACUAUGGGAUGAGGAAGCCUAGUACCGGAUUGAACCUAGACGUGAGCGGUCGCCCCAUUGUUCUUGGAACGGAGUUUCCCCUGCUAGCUGUCGCACGUGGUGGCAAGCGUGGUCACAGAACGGCAGAGGCCAGGUCUGUGGAACCUUGCACCAAAGGAAAUAGGCCCGACACGGGUUAGGGGAUUGAUGGGGAAGGCCGACACAGGAAGCGACCUCCGUGGUGCGCGGAUGUCGUGAGGUUAGGUUCACCAUGCAUGGUUAAAGAACUCGAAUCGAUUCGUCUGCCUCUCACAGUUUGAGACUGCUUGAUCGCUAUGCUACCCUGAGUAAGAAAGAAAUAUGAUGAUGACAUGGUCUUGAUGAUGAUAUAUAUAUACCUUUUGGUUGGUUCUAUGUUUGCUUAGAGUAAGUUGCUAACUUAGACCGGAUAAUGAAUUUAGAACCUGAGCUAAAACUUGAAAAUAGGGAUCUACAUAGUGCUUUUGGCAAACAAACCCCUCAGCCAAAGAGCCUUGCAUGUCUAGAAGUGGUGGAGUAGCUUUACUCCGGUCGGUUAAGUCUUGUUGAGCUUAGUAGCUCAGCCUUGUUGUGGCUUUUCUUUCAGGUGAAGUUGCUGCUCCCGAGCCUUCUUCCGUGGGCACUUGGCCGCUCCAGCUCCCUCCGGGUUGGACGGUCGAGUGGGAUCCCUCCUCGGACGGCGAGGAAAGGGAUCACUGACGUCUUGGAUGGCCUCACCAAGGACGUCCGACCCCUGCGUUUAGCUUCCGCUUGCUGUUUUACCCUCUGUUAUUUUCUUUUGAACCUUGUAAAACUUUGAUGUAUGUUUUAUAACCAAACUAGAUGGUUAAAGUGCUUAACUCGGUGGACUUGCUGUAUUCUCUGGAACCACUCACCUUCGUGUGAGUUUGCUAACUCGGUCCUGUUCGAGUGGUUAAAUCGGAUGAAAUCCGAUGGCACUUCAUGUUAACUUGGCUUAGGCAUGGGUGUCGCAUGAUUAGGUGACUUAACCCUGUUUAACCAAGCUAAUCCGAAGUGGAUCCGCCACAGUGGAUAGCCGCACGUGCGAGUCGGGAGGGUGCCACCAAUCCUGAUAUAGUGGUGCAGGCCGGGGUGGAGCCGGGCAUUGUCCCGAUAGAGAGCAACCCGAGCGUCGACCCGACUGCGACUGGAGAGCCCUCAUCCUUGUCAACUGCGCCGCCAACUGACCCGGCCGAGGGGGAGCAGUAGAAAAGGGGUAGUUAGUUUCUUUGUGUGUGAAAGAAAUUUGCGGGGAAUGUGAACCCCCGAGUGAACAAUUUUAAAUUCGUUUGUGAUUGUGAUGGGGAGCUUGUCCCACCCAUCCUCGUUUUUGUUGUUAAGCAAUUUCUGCUUUUCGCCCUUUUCCUUUCAGACCAGCCCGUUGACCGUAGGCUACAACCUUAAGGACCCGGGCAUGGCCCGCGAGGCUCAGCUGCUCAUAACCGUUGUCAUGGCAGGGUCCGAUCGGUCCGCAUGCUAGAGCAUAAGUUGCUUUUCGGGUGAAUUAGAGGACGGGAUGCCCUUUCAUUCGGGCGCGCCCUUUCAUUCGGGUGAGGUGCAUGGUUACGCAAAAAGUAAAGAGGGGGUGGUGCCGCACCCUCGUGGAGCCCUCGAGCAACCCAGGCCUAGAGUGCUCGGGCCAGGGUGCUGUAGGAGCAAGUGUUACCGUCAUCAUCCUUCAGUCGAAAAGCGCCCGGUCGGAUCACCUUGGCUGUAGGAGAAAGCUUGUGCUUGUCCUUGGUUGUUUGGAUCCUCCGGAGCACGAGGUCGACGACCUCGAGGGUUCUUCCCUGAAUCUUCCUCUCGAGUAGGUCGACCGCGUCCUGUUGAGCCUCCGCAGCUUGAUCGGGGUCGAGCGCCUUUACCCUUGGAGCACCGUAGUCGAGGUCGGAUGGCAAUACUGCCUCAGCGCCGUACACCACAAAGAAGGGAGUGAACCCUGUCGACUGGUUCGGGGUUGUCCUUAGGCUCCAAAGGACGGCUGGGAGCUCUGCGACCCUUCGUUCGACGUUUAUUCACCUUUCAAGCCUGCCCCUCAGAAUUCGUCCGACGCUACUAGAAAAGAGGCUAGCGGAACAUCCGAUGGUCUGUCUUUGAUUCAAUUUCUUUGCAGCGUACCAAUUGCUCCGAUGUUUGCUCCGACGCUAUUCUAGGGGCCAUCGGAACAUCCGAUGGUGCUGUUUUUCUAGAUUUCUUCGGUUCUUUGCUUAUCUUUGGUUGUGGUUGCUUUCUUAGGACCUAGAAUAUGUUCAAGGCAUGUUCUAAACACUUUGUUAGUCCUAAUGAUCAUGUUGUCAUUGAAUCACCAAAAUCAUGAACAAAUGGCUUAUCAAGGCCAUGUUCUGUACAAUUUUCCCCUUUUUUGUGAUUGAUGACAACAUAAUCAAAGCAAGCAUAAAAUUGUUUUUGACUUGAUCAAUUGAACCACUUACACUUGCUUGGAUGCUUACCAUCAUCCAACCUUUCCCUUUGCGUACUUCUCCUUUUUUCUUGUAUUUCUCCCCCUAUGUAUGUUCACACAUAGGUUCUUGCAUUAGCUCUUACUUUGAUUCCACAUUUCUCCCCCUUGGAAUCAAAUCGCCAAAAAGGCAAUCUCUUCCAUUUGUAAGCCUACAAGACCUUGCAAACAUAGCUCAAAAGAAAACAAUAGUAGCCUAGGAAGAUAUCUUCAUGAACCAUGAUCCAUAUGAGAUGAUACCAAUGAAGAUACCACUUGCAAGACUAUUAGGAUGGAUCAAGAAUUCGUGAAACUAGCAUGAUACAAGCUAAGCUCCCCCGAUGUGCGUGCACAACAAGAUAGUGUGAAAAACAAGUGCACAACUAGAUAUGAGAGCAAAUGAAGCUUAUAGCAUACCACUUGGUAGAAUAAACAAUGCAUACCUCCGAGGGAAUUCUUACCUUGAUGGCACCACUUGAAAGAGGAUAUCAAGGGAAACACAUGAGGUACCACAAGGAUAUGGAAUGUAUGAGUGCAUUGCCUUUGAACUUAUAUAUGAAAUGUAAGCUCGCAAGGUCAUGACUCGGUAAGCAUGAAUGCUAAUAUUGCUAUAGUCACUCUUAUAGAGUUGUUAGUUCACAUUGAGAGUGAAAUAGCAUUAUCUUAGAGUGAUGCACCGGAUCGAGAAUGCGCCAUUAAGAGACUACACAAGAUAAGCUUGAAAACAAGUUAGUCUCAAAAUCACAAGCCAUAGGAUAAGCUCCCCCUAAAUAUGUGCAUUUAGUGUUUGAAUCACCAACCAAGAGUAUGCACAUUGUUUUUGACAACAAGGGAAGCUAACCCUAUAGAAUGUGCUCAUGAUAUAAAAGAUACUAAACGAAAGAGCAUGUAUCAUGAAAGAGCCAUAUAUAUCAAACCAUGUAGUUUGCUUAUGGGUUAGAGAGAUACACAAGCAACCUGCCAUAUGAAAACAACUAGGCAUUGCGACAUAUAUCAUAUGAAAACACAAUACAAUCCUAGACAUAGCAAUGGAGCUACAAUGAUGCUUGAGUUGGGUUCUAACUACCAUUACCUUUGGAUGGGGGAUUUAGGCAUAUAUGUCAAUUGUUGUGAUGUUGGCUCCUUAGACUUGAACCUUCAUCUUCUUGUGAGCCAAGCCUCCAAAUUCCACGUGGCUGAUUAUAGCCUUCACGUGUCUUUUGGAACCCAACCCAUUUGAGGCCCUUUCAUGUUGGUGAUCACUUCCUUGGCAUCCAAAUGGGUCGGUUCCAACCCCACUCGUUCUUCAUCUUCCCAACCUUAUGUGCAAUCACCUUACCAUUGGUCUUCUUCUUAAUGACGUAUGUGUUGCUCUUGGCCUUGUUCUUGCGAUUGGGCUUGGUGUAUAUGAGGGGGCUCUUGAUGGUGAAAUUCAUCUUCUUCACUUGAGGGCAUUUGUAGGACUUGUGGCCUUCUUUAUGAAACUUGAAGCAAGUCACGGUAGCUCCCUUCUCAAACUUCUUCACCAUGUGGUCACGGUUAUCUUGAGAAGGUUGGAUGUUGCUCUUCUUAUCUUGAGAAUCUUGUACAUUGUCUACGUUGUCCUUGCCCUUCAAAUGGGCUAAUUUGCUCAUGAACCAUUGCACUUCUUGCUUGAGCUCAUUAUUCUCCUUGUCAAUGAGAUUAUCACAUGAUUCUACAACAAUAUUCUCAAGACAUUUCUCAUUGCAAAAUGGUGAGUAAGAUUCAUUAAUUAUAUCAAUGCAAGAAAUUGAAACAUCUACCUUAGAUAUAGGAAUUGCACAAAGGAUAGAUGAUUCAUCUAGCUCCAAGGAAUCCUUAGUUUCAUUUUCAAUGCUCUCAAUUUUAGAUUUGAGCUCUUCAUGCUCCUUGCUAAGCAAAUUGAAUUUGCACAAUAGAUUUUCAUAAUUUGUAGCAAAGGUAGCAUUAAGAUCAUUGAGAGUAUUGAGUUAUUUUAUUUGCUUAGAUUGUUUCUUAAUGAUUCCUUUUUGCUCAUGGAUUAACUCAAGAAGAUCAUCAAUAGAAGGAGAAUCGGAUUCAUCGUCACUUACAUCACUUUCCAUAUCUCGGGACAUAAGGCAAAAUUGUAAUGACGAUGAUGAGGGACCUUGCAUGAAGAGAGUGGUGAAGUUCUUACUUGAUUCAUCACUUGAGCUACAAGAACUUGAUUCUCCAUCACUUAUCCAUUCACGGAUGACGGUGAGUGUUUCUUGCUUGGGCUUCCUCUCCUUCUCCUUCUUCUUCUUCUUGUGCUUGAUCUUCAUGAUCUUCACUUGUUGAUGAUGACGUCCUUCUCUCAAGUAGACAUUGUAGCCAUACAUGUUGCAUUACUAGUUGCAUCAAAAUAUAAACUAGAUCAUGCUAUCUAGAUGUGCAAUAUAUGGUUGAUCUAGUGUGAAACUCUCAUCCCAAAAUAAAUUUGUAACCUACAGCCAAUCCUAUCAAGAUACUACUCUAGGAAAGUAAAGUCACCAAGUUAUAAAAACAAAUGCGGAAACGUAAGGAGGGGGUGAAGGGAAGCAAACUCUUGACACAAGGAUUUAUCCCGUGGUAUCGAUAGGCACUAAGCCACCACUAGUCCACGCUGUUGAAGCACUCAUACAAGAGUAUUGUUUCCCGAUCAUCAAGUCUCUCCCAAGGUGCCCCUUGACUUGCCACAAAGGCUCGGCCACUAAGGCUCACUCCAAGUCCCUCGGUCACCUUGAUGCCGUCUUCACUAAGGAGCUUCUCCAUGAAGGAAGGAGGUCUCCACGUCCCCCGCACAAGGUCAUUGACGCCGCUCCACACCAAGCCGGAGGGUCAAAGACUUGCCAGUGAGCCACCAAGGCUCCAAGGCACUGGCACACCUCUUGUACAGCGGUGGUUCACUCUAGAACCUGAUCACAAGGUUGGCACACCUUGCACUCACUUCUCUCUAGGCCUAUCCUAGCACUAAUCACUCUCCUAAGCUUGUGCUAAGCCUUUGAUAAAUCACUUAAGCACUUUUGGUGGCUGGGAUAUGUUCUUGAUGAGUUUUGGUCUUCAAUGCAUCCCUAGACACUCCAGCAACUCCAAAUAGGCGAGUAGUGGGGUUAUAAAUAGCCCCAAGGGCUCAAAAAGCCGUUGCUCCAAUGGCUAGUGAAAAAGUAUACCAUCAGAUGUUCUGAUGGUCUAUUUUUGACUUGCAUCGAAAUAUCCAGUGCAACUAGCCGUUGGACUCCCCGCGUCCAAGUUUUUCACUAACUCAUCCAAAAUUCAUCCGACGCUUCAUCCAAUGGUACUAUCGUAUCAUCCGGUGUUGAAGGGUUUUUGUCCAAAACCUUCUGUAAAGAAUCAAAGAAAAUAUGUUUUGUCCGACGCUCUUCUUUGACCUACCAUCGGAUCAUGCGGUGCUAUAGAGAUUUCUUCGUCUUUCAAGCUUGCCUCUCAGACUUCGUCCGACGCUACUAGAAAAGAGGUCAUCGGAACAUCCGAUGGUCUAUCUUUGACUCAAUUUCUUUGAAGCGUACCAAUUGCUCCGAUGCUUGCUCCGACGCUAUUCUAGGGGUUGUCGGAACAUCCGAUGGUGCUAUUUUCAUGGAUUUCUUUGGUUCUUUUCUUGUCUUCGGUUGUGGUUGAUUCCUUAGGAUCUAGAAUAUCUUCAAGGCAUGUUCUAAACACUUUGUUAGUUCUAAUGAUCAUGUUUUCAUUGAAUCACCAAAAUCAUGAACAAAUGGCUUAUCAAGGCCAUGUUCGCUACACCGGAUUUAAACCAUUAUUUACAAACCAUUCAAAGCAUACAUGGUAUUUUAAUAUGAUCUAAAACAUAACACAUCAUGAUAAAUCGUUAGAAUAGAUAUCAUGUUUAUGUCAUUCCAUAAAGCUUGGUCAUGGAUAAUUUUAAAGUUCACCUGCAAUAUCCAUAUAUAAUCAAGAUCAUUUUUCCACUAAUUUUAAAUCUACAUACGCUAGACCACUAGUAGAUGAAUGGUCGGAGCAUAUAUGCAGAGGGUCGUUCUUAGAUCUAGGUAAAAGUUUAGGGAAAAGUUAAAUCAUGCCCGAGCAUUUUGAACCGAAUUAUCCACGCUUGCAACGAUGGCGGCGGUGGUGGAAGACUGGGAGGUGGCGAUGGGAUGGGUAGGAAAGGUGGUCGGCACGGAGCUCCAGAGAGAUCCUCGCCCGCCCGCGGCAGGGUGGAGCCAUGUGGGGGCAAUAGUAGGGGCCAGGAAGCUCGGGGGAGAUGAAAGCGACAUCGGCAUCGAGAGGUAGGAGACGAAGUAGCAUCAGAAGGUAGGAGAUGAAGCAGAGGUGUCGGUUGCUGAUCCGACGGUCGAAAAAAUUUGAGUGUAUAGCACCUGUGUUUCACUUGGAUGUUGUCUAUACAUCCCCAAGGUUUUAUCAUGCUGUGCCAGUAUGGCCCAGCGUGUCUAGCGUGUCUAAAAGUUUGGACUCGAAUCCGCACGAGGCAUGAAAGAGUCAUGCUGCCGGUAGGACACAGUCCAAAUACCAUGUCUAAUCACGUGUAUAUAUUGAUCGUGUCAUUCUACUUUAUUUGGCAAGGAAUUAACUGAUUUGUUGGAUAUCGAUUGCUCGUAGUGUUUUACGAAGGCACAUGGUUCAAGAUGGCAAUGGGGACCCGCGACCCGAUACCCGAUGGGUAUUUUCUCCAUUAGGAUUUGAAUAUGGACUAAACACACUACCAUGGGUACAUAAAUGGACCAAACCCUUCACCCAUCGGGUACGUGGGUAUGGGUAUGUUCCAGUAGUCCCCAUACCCGUUAACUCGUGGCCUGGCUCAAAAGUAAAGAAGCCCACCAGGCACCAGCCCAUAAAGUGAAACCCUAAGUAUAUAAUCCUCUCCCCAACCCCUCCCAACCCCACAUUCCCACCCCUGUCCACUGUCGGCCGCCGCAAAAAGACAGCAGGCUACAAGAAGAGCCGAACAGGCCCCCGCCCCCUCGCUCCAUUCCAAAUCCAAGCGACUAAAAUCGCCGUAUUCGACGCCAUGUCGGCGACCGAGCAUGGCAGCGUCAACGGACGGUGACAAUCUUGCUUCCCUUUCAUAUGCUUUGCAGCUCCUUCACUCCACAGUCCGCACUAACUAGCUCCUUCACUCCGUCAAGGGGCAUCGUGGAGGAGGAGGAGGAUGCUGAUCGCCUACUAAAGUCGUCGGAUCCCGAGCUCGUCGACGCCGUGGACACUCUAAAGCUGCAAGAUCCAGAGGCCCAAGCUGAAGACGUCGUCGCCGGCGCUCCUGCAUUGGAUCCGAAGAAUAGCGUCGGUGCCGCCAGUGCUCCUGCAUCCAAGCCCAAUAAUAGGGUCGCUCCUACAUCCUUUGGCUAUGCAAUGUAAUGAUAGAAUAACUUGUGUGAUGGUGUUAUGUGAGUGGUGAUUGCAGUAGAGAUUAUUAUAUAUUAUUUGUUUAAUUUUAUGUGUUCUGGGACUGGUGGUUGCUGCUAAAGUGCUGAUUUUCAUGUCCUUAAAUAAACUAUUGGCGAGUACGGGUGACCCGCCGGGUAUGGGUCUGGGGAAAUUCCCCACCCACAGCCGGAUACGGGGAUUCUGGUAGUCUCAAAAUUUUAUAGCGGGGAUGGGUCUGGGGUGGCCAUACCCGAUGGGAAUUUACCCAUUGCCAUCUUUACACAUGGUAGAGCAAACACGCUAAAUGGAUGCAGCUUGAAAAAAAAUAGAGAACGAUUCAUUGUCUAUGCGUAUAGUUUUCCAAAUGGGCCGCUUGGCCCUAGCCCGGCACUAACCUAUCCUGGCCCGGCACUAAUAGGCCCAGCACUAUUAGGCCCGAAGGGUUUUCAUGCCGGGCUGGGAUGGCACUGCGUGCCGAGGAGGCGGCCCAGGCCCGGCCCGAUGACCUUUUUAUCGGGCCAGGCCAGCCCACAACACGACGGGCCAUGCCGUGCUAGUGCCCGGCCCGGCACUAGCAGCGGCGGCCGGCUCCAGUUGCCCCCGGAGGACGGCGACGGUCGGCCCCCGGCGGUGGCGGCGGCGGCUGGCCCCCCGCGUCGGCCCCUAGUGGCGGCGGCGCCGGCCCCCCCGCGUCGGCCCCGGGCGGCGGCGGCGGCCGUCCCCCCACGGCGGCUCCUGGCGGCGGCAGCCGGCCCCCCGCGUCGGCCUCGGGCGGCGGCGGCUGGCCCCCUGCGGUGGGCAUGGCGGCCAUCGUCCCAAGCAAGCAGGAAGGUGGGACUGUGGGAGGACCCUGGGAGGCGGACGGGUGGAUGGCCAAAUGGGGGAAAAUUGAAAGGAUAAGGUAGGGUUCUGCAUUUAUAUGGUAGUUAGAUCGGGCCACAUCGGGCCGACCCAAAAAUCGUGCCGGGCUCGUGCUAGCCCAGCGUGCCGGGGAGGCGGUCCAGGCCCGGCACAAUCAUCGUGUCGAGCCAGCCCUGGCACUAUUCACUUCGUGCCGGGCCCGUGCUCGUGCCGUGCUUUUUAGUGUCGGGCCUCGGGCCGCCCAACGAGCCUGGCCCAUUUGGAAAUCUUUGUCUAUGCGCAUGAGUCGUGGGUCAUUGAUUGCGUUUGCCCUAUCUAGCCUGAUGGGAUGCAAGUUCCUGAUGCUGUGUUGCACGUACUUCCUAACAAUGAAAAUAGUUUCAUCCUUUUAGUACGAUUAUAUGAGCAAAUACAUAAACGGAAAUGCGUAUUUGCUAUGGGAUCCUAGGCAAUAUUCAGUACGGGUUCCUAUAAUAACGUUCGAGGAGUUGAUAAGUUAAUUCAUGUGUAUACCUACUUGUUGCCUGCCUAAAUUAGAGGGUUCCAUUUCCUUGAUAGAGCCACUGCCUAUACGUCGUCGGCUCAUUCUUCAAUAAGCACGUGGUCAAAGACCACUUUACCCUCCCACUGCUUAGGAGCUCAGUACGGUUUCGUAUUCUAUUUCACUACCCACCACUAGGGGUUAUUUUCAUUUUUCCCUCGUGAUACUAAUGUGAUCCUUACUGAUACACACUGGAUUCCACGUACCCCAUGCAAUUUGGGGCCUUGUUUAGUUGUUAAAAUUUGGAGUCCCAAAAUUAUUGUGCCAACACUGUAGCACACUGUAGCGUUUCGUUUGUAUUUGUGAAUUAUUGUUCAAACACUGACUAAUUAGGCUCAAAAGAUUCGUCUCGCAAAGUACAACAAAACUGUGCAAUUAGUUUUUAAUUUCGUCUACAUUUAGUACUCCAUGCAUGUACCGCAAGUUUGAUGUGAUGGGGAAUCUUCUUUUUGCAUAGUGCUAAAGUUGGAAGUUGGGGAUGAACUAAACAAGGGCUGGGUUAGAGUGUAAGCUAGUGAUGCUUUCGACUAUUGGACUUUAGAACCUGUCACAUCGGAUGUUUGGAUACUAAUUAGGAGUAUUAAAUAUAGUCUAAUUAGGAGUAUUAAUAAGUUGAAUUAAGAUCUGUAAAAGUAUAUUUGCAGCAAUAUAUAUAUCAUGUGAUGAUUGUUAAUCUAUUUUUCAUCUCAUCGUACAUAGGUUCUCAUCCAAGCAAACAAACCAAAUACUCCCUCCGUUCCAAAUUGUAGAUCGUUUUAGCUUUUUUAGAUUCAUGUCUAGUGCAUAAUAAUAACUACAAUUUGAACCGAGGGAGUACUAUCUUAACUUAGCUACACAUACAUUUACUCAGCCUGGCUCACAAAUAAGAGAUCAGGACACUCAAUGCAACCAAUCAAGCCCAUGAACAUAUAGUCAAUGGAAUCUCUACUCCUAAAUUCGCACAUAGCCCCUGAUGACCGAGUGCCGGCUUGCACCACCGGCGUGCCACUUCCACAGGAAGAGAAGCGACUAGGAUUAAACUUGCUACAAAUUUUCAACAUCUACACAACUUGGAACUCAUUUUUUCAGUAGAAAUUUGAUGAAUUCCCACUUUAGAACUCUCAACCAAGAUUGCGUCAUUUGAAUAUAUGCCAUUCGAUUGAGACUAAAAGGUUCAGGGUAUCAACUCAAUUUCAGAAUCUCUCAGCUUUCAAUCAAGGUUCAGAAGAGUUCAGUCCAUAAUAAGAAAUUGAAAUUUCAAAGCUCUUGCUACAUAACACUCUAAAUUGGGGAGAGCAUUUCGCCCCACCUUGGCCUUGUUUAGUUCCCAAUUUGGGAGUGCCAAAGUUGUGAGUUUGUCAUAAAUGCGCAACUGUAGCAUUUCAUUUGUAUUUGUGAAUUAUUGUCCAAAAAUUGACUAAUUAGGCUCAAAAGAUUCGUCUCGCAAAGUACAACAAAACUGUGCCAUUAGUUUUUGAUUUCAUCUACAUUUAGUACUCCAUGCAUGUAUCGCAAGUUUGAUGUGAUGGGGAAUCUUCUUUUUGCAUAGUGUCAAAGUUGGGAUUUUGGUGGAAUGGCCAGAAGCCGGGCCUUUGCGGCCGAUCCGAGAACCGAGACGCUGGGCGGCAUCUUCUGAGCACCUUGAUAGAUUGACGUGAUGAUCCACGUCAGCGGUGAGAUUUGUAAUUUCGCAAAAAAAAAAAGUGGUGAGAUUUGUGCGCACCGGGCUUGCCACCGCGGAUGGCAAUCAGACGGCUCGCAAAAGUUUCUACCCACUGGUAGUGUGCACGCCACCAAACCCCCGGGGGUAUAAGUUUCAGAUCUAAUAACAAAUGAGCUUGACAUCCUUCUCUCUGAAUCUCUGAACUCUGAUGCACCAAAGCAAUCGAUCAGGGAGCAUUGGCGUGCUACUUCCUGCUCGAUUACGAUGUUACAAUUGAAAAGGAACAAGAAAUUAAGGCGAAACCGAUUACGAGACACAAAUCGUACAAGUUCCAAGCCAAGAAGAUCACGUCGAUCAGUCCACACGCUGCACCGUCGCGGAGCUCAGCGUCCGGCUAGCUCCGGCCCGUCGCUGGCGGCGAUCUCGUCGAUCAUCCGGACGACGUCCUGCACCUUGGGCCGCCUGUCGGGGUCGACGGCGGCGCAGAGCAGCGCGAUCUCCGUGAGCCGCAGCAUGUCCCCGUGGUGGCCCCGGUCGGCCACGAUCUCGACGUCGAGGAUGUCCGUGGACCACUCGUGGCUGAGCGCCAGCCGCGCCCACUCCGCGAGGUCGCCGUCCUCCUCCACGGGCACCUUCCCGGUCACCAGCUCCAGCAGCACCAGCCCGAGGCAGUAUACGUCGGCGCGGGACGACAGCCGCCGGCCGCCGCCGCGCGCGAACUCCGGGCACUUGGCCGCCGCCAGCCGGUGCGCGUGGUGCGGGAGCAGCGGGUGGAAGCCGUGGUCCGUCAGCUUCGGCACCGCCUGCUUCUGCUGCUGCUGCUUGCUCUUGGCGGCGGCCGAGAAGAAGACGAGCACGUUGGAGGACUUGAGGUUGCCGUGCGGCGGCCGGUGGAAGUACGGCAGCGACUGGUGCAGGUACGCCAGCCCGCGCGCCGUGCCCUGCGCUAUCGAUAGCCUCGCCGGCCACGGCAGCGGCGUCCUCCCCUCGCCCCUGUUCCCUGCGCACGCGCAAGCAGAGCAAGGUUGUCAACUUGUCAUCGCGAUCUGUCGUGGCAGCCUUCAGAGGCGACGCACACAAGCGUACGGACUCCGACGUACCAUGGAGGAGCUGGAAGAGGCUGCAGCCGGGGACGUGCUCGUACACGACGAGCUUCUCCUCCUUGGAGUAGAAGCAGGCGAGGAGAUCGGCGACGUUCUCGUGCCGGAGCUUUCCCAGGAGCUGCAUGGUGUGCGUGAAGUCUCGGCGAGGCACGUGCGCCAUGUUCCGCAGCCGCUUCACGACGACGACGGGGCCGGCCUCGAGGGUCACCCGGUACGUGAUCCCGAGCCGGCCCUUGCCGAGCAUCUCCGCCGUGGACCGGAACAGCUCGUUGAGCUCGAACCUCGCCCUGUCGUCGAGGAAGAACUGCAGCUCGGCUCCCUUGCCACCGGCCGAGUCCGUGCUCCGGCUGCCGCUCCCUCUGCCCUGCUUGGUUUUGUCGUUGAUGUCCCCAGCUCCUGUCACUUUUGCAUCGUACAAAACAUCAAGUCUCUGUCAGGAACAAGAACGCCGUCGCAGAUGAAAAACCAUACGUGCUAGGAAGUGAGCUGAAUUAUGUCACCUGCGGCAUCGGCACGACCGCCGAGACGGACCUCCCGGCCCUUCUUCUUGUGGUGCAGGAAGAUGAGGAUGGCCGCGAACGGCACUAACGCGGCGAUGAGGCACAUCGCCACGACGCUCCACGUCGCCAGCCUGAAUCGCACGGGCUUCCGUGCUUCCCGAUCCUUGCCGCCUGCCGGCCUGAUGACCGGAUCGUCACUGCCGCCUCCAUCGGCGGCGGCCGAACCACCGGACGAAGGCGGCGCCUCCUCCCGGCACUCGGCGUUCACGGCCUCGCCGCAGAGCUUGAGGUUGUGGUCGAAUGCGCUCGCGGGGAACCGGCGCAGCGCGCGGGUGUCCGGGACUUCGCCCUGGAGGAAGUUGUAGGACACGUUGAAGACGACGAGCCCCCGCUGCCGGAACGCCGGGAGGGUGCCGUUGAGCAGGUUGUCCUGGAGCUCGAGGCGCGCCAGGUCCCGGAGCGACGUGGCGUACCCGCGCGGGAUGGGGCCCGAGAAGCGGUUGCUGGACAGGUCGACGGCGCGGAGGCGCGGCAGGUCCUCGAGCCCCGGCAGCGCGCCGUGGAGCGCGUUCCCGCGCAGCGACAGCGCCUCGAGCCUCGACACGCCGCGGAGCGCGCUGCGCGGGAGCGAGCCCGUGAGCUGCGCGUCGUCGAGCGCCACGCCCACCACGCGCCCGUCGCCGUCGCACGACACGCCGCGCCACCGGCUGCGCCCGCCGUGGCAAGGGGGGCCCGUCCAGUUGGAGUGAAGGUCCAGCGCCGACCGCAGCGUGUCGCGCAGCACCAGCAGGUCUCGCCGCUCGUCCCGGCGCUCCUCGAAGUCCAGCUCCGUCACCUCCGCGCCUCCCUCCCCCACCACCACAGUCGCCACGAGAACCCACGAGACGACGAGCCAAUGCCACGGCCGCCGCCGCCGGUCACACCUGCUCCCGUCGUUCAUGGCGUCGUCCUCGAUAAGCUCGCGUCAAGCAACAUGCAUGGAGAGAGCUUCCUUCCUCUUCACCCGACGAGGGCGAUAAACAAAUCGAUCCUUGCAGGAGGAGGAUGCUUGCCGAGAUGUGCAAGGCAAGGGAGGCAGCAGCGGGCGGGGGGGAAGAACCAUGAUAAGAUACGUGGAGACGGAUGGAGGGAGGCCGGGUGGGGUGGUGGUAGGCGGCUGUGGUGCGUGCUGGUAGCGGGAGGGAGGGAGGGAGCUGGAUUUUGGUGGAUUCGACGUGAACAUCUCGGCAGUUCGGUCGCGGCUGCAGCGACGGGCCAACCGACCCGGAUGGACGCAGAUGGAGUGUGGGAGACGAGCUCUUCUGACAAACCCAAGUGGCCAAGUGCUGAAUUGGUUGAGACUGGAGACAUGCAGACGCAUCCCGCUCUUUACAUCUGUCGACUGGUCACAACAGGAUGUGUGUAUACGAUCUUUCUUUUACUACUAAGAAUUUUGUCCUUCAAUAGAUUCCAAUGUUUUGUUCUUUAAUUUUUUCGACAAAAUGGAUGCACAUCUGGUGCCACAUAUAUAGGCGUAGGCAACAUGAGUAAACUGAAAUUUCACAUCGGCAUGGACAUUCUAAUUGCUGUAGCACAAGCUCUAUCAUAGGCUAUGGGGUUGCACCGUUGCACUAUAAUAUAAUCUUAGCUAGCGGCCCCAUGGUCUCACUAGUAACGCUUUGGUUUAGCAUUAGCUGUGUUUUUUCUUCCUUCACAAGGGCUAGUACGCCAUUCGACUCCUAUGCACACGCGAGGAACAUGGGUGGGACGAAACUGUAACCGAAAAUCGCGUUUACUGGGACCCGUUUUCGAAUUAUUUCUGUAUAAGUGAUAAAAUUUCUGACCAUUACCGUAUUUAAAUUAGGAUUUUAUAUUUUCUUUUAUAUGUAUUAUAGUUAAAUAAUGAAAUCGGGAAAAUUCCUGAUGGACAGGCAAUCAUUUUCUGUAUGGAUGAUAUAUAUCGUUAACGACCGUUGUCAUCCAUUGGAUACGCUUUGUGACUUUGUUUAGAUAUCUAUUCAAGUUCCAAGUACUAUCCAGGUCUACAGUGUACAGUACUGCUAAAAGGAAAAAAUGGAAACAGAGGAAAGGAGUCGUACCAGACCACCAGUGCUCACUGAUACGUCGCCGUCAUAGGCAGAGUUUGGCUUUUUCGUUUUUUUGUUUCUGGAAAAAGAUAGAGCCCUAGUCAUUAAGUAGAUUAAGGGGGUGUUUGGAACACCCCUGUUAAAGUUUAACACCUGUCACAUCGGAUGUUUGGGUACUAAUUAGGAGUAUUAAAUAUAGGCUAAUUACAAAACUAAUUGCACAGAUGGAGUAUAAUUCGCGAGACGAAUCUAUUAAGCCUAAUUAGUCCAUGAUUUGAUAAUGUGGUGCUACAGUAACCAUUUGCUAAUGAUGGAUUAAUUAGACUUAAUAGAUUCGUCUCGCGAAUUAGAACAGGGUUCUGCAAUUAGUUUUAUAAUUAGCUCAUGUUUAGUCCUCCUAAUUAGCAUCCGAAUAUCCGAUGUGACACUGUUAAAGUUUAGCACCUUGUAUCCAAACACCCCUUAAGUAAUAUUCGGUACGUACACUUUCAGUAUGAAUAUCAUAAUUUAAAAAAACAACAACAUUAGUUUAUGUAGAAACAUACAAAAUAAUAUGUAUUGUUUUUUUCUUGAAAAGUACUUUCGCAAUCUCAUGCUAUGUUAGAUAUUACCAUUGUAUUCUAAUAGGGAAAAAUAGUCGUCCACAUUUAAACUCGAAGAUCAAAAAAAUCAAUCGUGUGGAGUAUUAUGAUUAGAGAAUUAUAUGGAUACUAGAUUCAUAUUUCAAAGAUCUUUUUGAUAAAACUGGUUAUAUAGCAAUCGAUGAUACGUUAUAAGUGAAAUUGAUGGCCAAAAUUUACCUUAAAGUUAAAAACGUUUUCAAAUCCUAAAACGCCCACUAACAAAAAAGGGUUAAUAAUAUAUUGGGAACAAGCACCUCUAGACACAAUUUGGUACAAUCUAUAGAACUACUACCUUUGGUCAUAAGUGCUUGACACUUUCAUCAAAAUUGGUCAAGCUCUUGAGACUAUGAUCAUUAACAACAUUCAAAAAUAUUUUUAAAUAGCCGGUUACUCGUCAUUUAGCCAAUUAUUGAGCUACGUGGCUUUUUAGCCAAACAAUGUGUGUAGAUUUGUCUUAAAAUAGUACUUCCAUAUAUAGUUCCAUACAUUUACUAUUUUAACAUUAUGAUUACAUUCUAACAGAAAGUAAUGACCAAAGUUACACUAAAAAACAAUAAAAACCAUGAAGUAUUUAUGAUCAAAAGUUAGCAUGCAAGAUAUCCUCGAGAAGAUUUAGAAACGGUAAACUUGCUCACAUGAUCGAGCAGUUGCACCAACCGAUGGAUGAUGGACCGUGGAAAUUGGACGGCUGGGGUUUGAUACGAUAUGCAGCGCUCGAUUGAAGAGACGCACCAGGAGGCUGACCUUUACUCUUCCUACAAGGCACCAGCGUGAAGACUGAAGACCUUUACACACUUUUUUGGUAGCUGGCUGCACAAACAAAAGGGAGACGAAGACUCAAGGAGGAGUGCAGGGAAUCAGAAACCGUCCUCAUCUUUACCUUUUCUUUUUUUUCCUUUUGUUUUUUGCAAUCUUGUCGUUCCUUUGGAGCUUCAAAGGAGCAUCAGGCUCUGUGAUUGCGAGGAUCUUGUGCUUAAAGGCUAAAGCCAUUCUGUCAGAAGAUCAUUAGGGCGUAAAUCACUGUCUGAUCCUUGAGAAAUGGGCACCGGGAAAAAGGAGGUAAUGACACUGACAUGUAUGUAGCUGUGCGUCUCUGGUUUGCAGGUAGCGGGAUCAUCGUGAAAACAACCGGGGUUUGCACGAUAUACGCAGGCGCACACUGACAGGUACCACUCGCUAUUGUUUAGCACAUAUCACAUCGAAUGUUUAAUACUAAUUAGGAGUAUUAAACAUAUACUAAUUACAAAAGUAAUUGCACAGAUGGAGUCUAAUUCGCGAGACGAAUCUAUUAAACCUAUUCAUAAUUUGACAAUGUGGUGCUACAGUAACCAUUUGCUACAGUAACCUUAAGAACUUAGCAUAAUCCAACCUACUACCGUGUAACAUGGGCGUGGCAUGGGCCAGGGGAAACCUAAGACUUGUUCCACUUGCGAGUUGGGACCGUGUGUUGCUUUCAUAAUCAAAUGAUAGGUGGAUGGUGGAAGAUACUUCUCUCCUAAAUAACAUCACUUUUGGCCUAAACUUAAGCUUCUUCUCAAACCAUAUUGAUACUGUACAGAUUACUCCAAAGUUUAAAUUGCCGAGAAAAAGGGGUCAUUAUGUUAACUAUAGUUUUGUUAGAUUUUGAUGCCUAAAUAUGUCAUGAUGUUGGAAACAUGCGCGAGGGUUUUGCGUAUGUGCUUAUACAAAUCUAAUGGUUUGCUAAGGUGGCGUUUGGUUCCCUUUGCUUAUUUUUAAGCAAGUGUCACAUCAAUGUUUAGAUACUAAUUAGGAGUAUUAAACGUAGUCUAUUUACAAAACCCAUUACAUAAGUGGAGGCUAAACAGCGAGACGAACCUAUUAAGCCUAAUUAAUCCAUCAUUAGCAAAUGUUUACUGUAGCAACACAUUGUCAAAUCAUGAACUAAUAGGCUUUAAUAGAUUCGUCUCGCCGUUUAGCCUCCACUUAUGUAAUCGGUUUUGUAAAUAGUCUACGUUUAAUACUCCUAAUUAGUAUCUAAACAUUCGAUGUGACGGGUGCUUAAAAAUAAGCAAACGAACCAAACCAGGCCUAAAUAGCAUGCAUAAGUUGACGCAGUUAUGAAUGUCAACUAACAAUUGGGUAUCAGAUUUGUUGCU